rnacentral:lncRNA from 1 species
UCGUUGUAUGCAUUUUCAUAGCCCAGUCUCAGUGAUGCUGCAAUUGCCAUACGUAGUGAAUCUGCCAAAAUCUUGUUGUUUGCUUUUCCAUCAAGUUUCAAGCAGUUAGUAAACCCAAAAUAAAUUGGUUGUGGCGUCACAUAUUCCGGAUGCCAUUGACGAAGGUCAGGAGAGGGUUUGGAUAGCUUUUCGAGUACGGAUGCAUCUAGUUCUUGUACACAUGACGGAAUCUCUGGCAAAGAUUGAAGCCGGUUGCAGUUCAUUGCAAUUAGUGACUGUAGACACAAUGGAAGUUCAGGUAAUGACCGAAGCAUGUUACAAUCCUCCAAGUGAAGAGUUUCUAAACCCAAUGGAAGUGCUGGUAAUGACUGAAGCAUGUUACAACGCCACAAGUGAAGAGUUUCUAGACCCAAUGGAAGUUCUGGUAAUGACUGAAGUAUCUUACAAUCCCUCAAUUCAAGAAAUUUUAGGCCCAAUGGAAGUUCUGGUAAUGACUGAAGCAUAUUACAAUCCUCCAAGUAAAGAUAACUUAGCCACGACAGUUGCUUGAUACUUGCAGGUAAACUCUCAAAGUUAUUUCCAUUUAAAUUGCCAAUGUUAUCCGGCAACUUAUCAAGUACAGAGCAACCACUUACGGACAAAAGUACAAGCCCCGUUUGCAAUGCCUCAAAUCCAACUUUUCAAGAUCAGUUAGGCACUCUACUGAUGAUGGAACUUCUUCUAUUGCAGUCUGGCCCAAGUUUAGCGAUGUUACUUUCCCAGAAAUCUGUGGAAACUCUAUGAGAUUAACACAAUAGGAGAAAUCAAUAGUUACUGGACAAACAAAAUGAAGAUUGCUAGGAAAAGACCUAAGACUUUUGCAGCCCAUAAAAUCCAACCUACUGAGAUACUUGAAAUUCUGGAUAUAUGAGGGAACACAAGCCAAGUUUGUAUAAUCCAAAAGAUAUGUUUCAACAUUUGGGGUUUCUAAUGGGCCUGGCAUCUUAAUGAAAUGUCGAGAAUGGCUGAGGUUAAUAGAUUUUAACUUGAAAGCUUCCUGCAAUAACAGAUAUAUAAAGACUAUAUUAAUUAAAAAGCAACAUUGAAUUCAACAAUUAAUUGCACGUAUAUUUAAAGAAAGAAAAAAUUAAUGUUUUAGUUUUAGUACAGAACUUACCUUUUCUCCUUCCCAAAGUUGCUCAACUUUACUAAAACGCAAAUUCAGUUCAACAAGGUUCUUUGGCUUGAAAUUUGAUGGCAGUGUCCUUAAGGGAUAUGUGUCCCAAUGAAGAUAUCUCAAUUUUUUAGGAAGAUAAUCUAGGCCAUUUGGAAGCUGCACUUUAGAGUAUGAAAGUUGCUCUUCAAUGCUCAUACUUAGAAACUUUUCAAUCUCAGGUACAUAAAAUUUGAGCAAUCUUAGAUUAGACAUUUUUGUGAAGGCUCCAGGGUCUAAAUUGAUGCCUUUUAUUUUGGACAAAUCCAGAAAUAUGCCUUCAAUUGCAUCGGUCCCCUUAUUAAAAAAAAAAACAAAGAAUGAGUAACCCUAAAACAGAAAAGAAACAUUCGCAAACUUUAUUAACUAAGAACUCCUUAAACAAAAACAAAUUCUGCAAUCUUUGAUUUUAUUUUUUAAAAAUAUUAAAUAUCUAUAUAUGAGAAAAGAAAAUUUUGGGGACCAUUGCAAAAUUAAACUAACCAAAAAAAAAAUUCAAAAUUUCUCUAAUUUACAAACCUGUUAUCUUAAUAUCUAGAAGUUGAGAAGACAAGGCGUAUUUGAUUGGUAUAAGAUUUCGAUUUUUUUUUUAGUCCAUAGAAUCCAAAAUGUUUGUUCAAAAUCAGGGAAAAAAACGAAAGUUAUUUUUUUUUCCACUAGCUGUAAUUGUAUCCAAGUCAAAUUGAGAUACGACCCUUUUCGAAAGGAUUUAAUCAUCUUAUAGCCUCCUUAAGAUACAUUUAAGCUAAAAGGAGUGAUUGGAGGCAGAACUUAGUGGGCCAAUCAGUUCAUUUUAUUAGCGACUGUUGCUUAAAAAAAAUUAUACUCUAAAACACACUUACUUUUUUGAAAAAAAAUAUAAUUAUAUUUAAGUAGAACCAGGUGGGCCAAUCCUCAUGGCACUCACUUUGUUCUGACACUCUUCACUAAAUUUGAAGAAAAAUAAAAUUAUACUCUUCACACUCUUAUUCAACAUUCCAAAAUUGAUAAAAUCUGGAGUUUUCUUUAAAAUUUUAAAAUUUGAAGACUUGUUCUCUUGACACCCUCAGUCAUUAAUUUUACCUAAUUAUGGUUUUGGUUGUUUUGUUCAUAAAAAUGCUUUUACUAAAGGAUGUUCUGGUAAUGAAAAAAUUUAUAAAAAAACAAACAUGGGUGUGCUGAUAUAGUUGGAAAAAUAUGAGUGCAUAACUCCAAACAAAUAAAAGAUACAUAAAAAAAAAAAAGGAGGAUUCUUACCAUAUUAUGCUUUAGUACGCGGCGGAUUUCCUUAGGAUCCCACAACCUACUGCGUCUGCCUGGCUCUUCCUCAGAUUCUUGGCGAACAAUCUCUCGGCCCAUUUCUUGCAAUAAAUCAUGCAUUUGCAAGCAGUUAUCUGACACUGUUAUAAGUGACUUGUCCACGAGGACAUCCAGUCUGUGAGACCCAGAAUCAUCAAGUAUCCUUAACACAAAAUCUUUAUCCUCUCCCUCAAGGAAACACGCAAUAUCUAGAAACAUACUCUUCACCCUGGGCGUUAAUUCUUUAAAACUAAUCUUUAAUGUAUCAUAAAUACCAUGAAUAUCAGAUUCACAAAUCCGAUUUAAGUCGUCCAAUACAUUUUCCCAAUGGCUUUUCCCCUUGAGAUACAGGGAGGAACCCAACACUUUAAGAACUAAUGGAUUGCCAUCGGCAUACCAUACAACCCUCCAUGAGUGCCGGUAGAGAUCUUCAGGACAAUGAUUUUCUUUAACAGCGAAGUUACAAAAAUGCUCGAAAGCCUCAUCAAAUUUCAAUCCAUUGACCCUAUAUAUUUUCUCCACUCCAAAUUUUUCGAGGACUCGUUUAUCCCUGGUGGUUACAACAAUUCUACUUCCUGGACCAUAUUGAUCAAGCCCUCCAAUCAAACCCUCUAAUUGUUCAUCUUUAUUCACAUCAUCGAGUACAAUCAACACCUUCAUGCGUCGGACCCUCCCUUUAGUAAAUUGUGGAAUAUUGGGACCAGCUACUUCAAGUUUUUCACUUAAUAUUGUCGAAAGCAUUUCCUUUUGUAGGUCUUCUAGGCCACCCUCUGUUUCUGAUUUUCUCCUAACAUUUUUUGCAAAGUAUUUACCAUCAAACUCACCAGAGAAUUGAUCGAAAAUAGCUUCAGCAAGGGUAGUUUUGCCUAUACCACCCGUGCCCCAAAUUCCAACAAUAUGGACAGUAUCCCACAAAUCCAUACACAGAAAUGGUUUAAUCUGCUCAAUUCGUGAAUUUAAUCCAACUAGGCCAUUGGAUGAGUCCGUUGAGACUGUUAUUUUUUCCAACUUCUUCAAAACAUCAUCGACAAUUUUGUUUACAAGUUCCGCAUCGUGCCUAAUAUAAAGGUGCAAAGAUGCAAAAACAUUGAGUCAAAUCGGGCCAAGACAGAAACAGAGAAAAGAUGAAUUAGGAAAGAGAGUUACCUGAAUUUCGUGGAUUCAUGGCCGGCUAGAUGGGAUGUUUCUGUCAGUGCAUCCCUCCACUUCUGAACCAUUUCUGGUUUAUCUUCGAACUGUUUUUUGAGCUCAUCAAAACGGUCUCCAAAUGUUCCGUUUUGAUGCCGCACAUCAGAUGGACUUACUCCAUAGAAGACUGGAAUAAUAAUUUGGCCGUUUGUGUUCUUGCAUUCAAGAAUCUUGACAAGUUCAUUCAGGCACCAUUUUGAAGAAGCGUAGUCCUUUGAGAAAAUGACCACCGAAAUUUUUGAACCUUGGAUUGCGUUCAAAAGGGCGGGUGAAAUCUCAUCUCCUCGCCUAAGCUCUUCAUCAUCAAUAAAUGUUUUGAUUUUUUUUCCUUCAUACAAUUUAUCAUAAAGAUAGCAAGUAAAGCUCUUACGAGUGUCCUCCCCUCUAAAGUUGAGGAAGACUUCAUAAUUGCAAGAAGAAGAAGAGGAAGCCAUGAAGGAAAUUCUAGAAAUUUGAAAGUAGAUUUAGGGAAUUAUAAAAAGCUGAAGGAAAUUGGAAUUUUGUACAGUUUCUCCAGCGAGGAACUUUCACCUCCGCACUAGAUUCUUAAGUUUUGAAAAUUAUGAGACCUUUAUAUUGGAAGAUAUUAUAAUCGAAUCAAAACUUAAAAUUUUAAUAUUGUUAAUCUUUAAUCUUUAAAAAAAAAUUACCUCGCCGUUACAGUUUGGAUUAAGAUUUGAGCAAGCAUUUACCUAAAUUUUAUCUCCGCCUGUAAAUUCUUAUGUUUUAAAAAUUAUGAGACCUUUAUAUUGGGAGAUAUUAUAAUCGAAUCAAAAUUUUGAAUUUCAAUAUUAUUAUUCUUUUAAAAAAAAAAUUGAGAUAACAGAGUGAUUGAUAAUAUAGGAGAACUUGUCUAGGCAAGCACAUGCAUACACAGAAAUGUGAUGGAUUCAAAAAGAAAUUAAAGUGAUAAUGUACGUGGAUCCUUAAAAUAAAAAGCGAAAUCGCUUGGUGGCCCAGUAAAAUUAGAGAACAAAGAAGAAUUAGUUAUUGAUAUACAAAAGAGAAACACUCCAAAAUUUCAAGCAAAAAUAGUUUCAUAUACCAUUUCAAUUUUGUAAGGGGUGAGGUUUUGAAUUUCAAUAGUUUCCUCUAAAAUCAAAAGGCAACAAUUAAGUUAGAAAGAGCAAAGAAGACUUAUUAGUACCUUAUUAAAGGUAACAUUAUGGAACUUUCAAUUUCAUUACCUCACUCUUCAAUUUUUAUUGAGAUUUGUGCAAGAAUUUACCUAAAUAUUACCUAAAAUUGAGAUAUCAGAGUAAUAUCAAAUAGAAAAACUUGCCACGGUAAGCCAAAAGUCUAGUCAACCACAUGCAUAAAGCUAAAUAGAACAACUAACAAGAGAACAGAGAAACGCGUGGGUCCCUAAAAGAAAAGGCAAGCACAUAGAUGAAAAAGCCAUUACAUUUCGAUUUUACAUGUCAUUAAUUUCUGUAACACGGUGUGUGGCAGCAUAUGCACAAUCAAGUGAGGCAAAAGGGAUUCGAUUAUCGUGGCAGAACAUGAACGAGGACGCGUGAUGAAUAAUUCCUUCGAUAAAACGAAAAACAAACGCAGAGAAAAGAAUUUCUUAUAUGACAAGAAAUCAAAGAAAUCAAAGUAAUGUUUCAUUUUCCCUUCCCUACCUUUUUUUUGUUUUAUUUUUAUAGCAAAGAAUUAUAUCAUGAAAAGAAUCAAUUUAAUCACCUUUUCUAGCAGCACAAUUUUUCUUUUAUAAAAUUUGACCAGGGAGACAAAGAAUAAUUAUUCAUACCUUCAUCACUAAGGAAAUACUUUUCGGUAUGGCUAAGGUGAGAAAAGGCUUUCCACAAAAACUUGUACUUUGUAUUCCUGUAAAUUUUCUUUAAAGUCAAUAAAAACCAUAAGUUCUUUACAAUAACCAUCUCUUUGAUAAAAAAGUGCCGUAUUCCUUUAGAAUUUAAAACCGGCAAAACUGAAUCAGUGUCUUUGAAGAGACAUAAUGGUCGUAAUUCUUUAAAUGAGUUGGCUAUGGAAAUCGUUAUCCAAGAUUCUUUUACGCCAUAUUCUUUCGUAAACCAAAAUUCAUUUUGGAAUACUCUGUUGAGAAUGUCAAAUAAAACGGCAUUGAAGGAAGUUUUCAAAGGCAGAAUCUGCACUUGUCAGAUGGAUGAUCUGCACUUGUCAAAGACACAAUCCGCGUCGAACGAAUCGACACAUUUCCUUUCGUAUUCACAUAUGCAAUUUUUGAAAAAAUGUAGCUUUUACAUCUAUAAAUAACACUCAGUGUAUAAUGUUUUAUUCAAGAAAAGAAAACAAGUUUCUUCAUGGUAUCAGAGCCAUGAAUACGCUCAAGUUUCUUCAAGUUUCGCUGCUCUGUUUGUAACAAAAACAGAGAAAACCAAAAUCUUCCCACAACCAUUUUUUCCACCAUUUUCUUCCUUAAAAUCAUUCCUACCAUUAUAGAAAUCCAUGCCGAUCAAAAAACAAGCCACCCAUACGUAAAAAACUUGAGUUUACAAAUUUAUCAACAAUCUCAUAAAUUAGAUACAAAACAACGUGAUGUUAAAUCUCCAGAACUGCAGCAGUCUUAAAACGACAUGUCGUUUCUAUUCCAUCAGAACCGACAUAUCAUUUCUUUAAGCAGAGGCCAAACGACUUGUCGUUUUUUUUUUUAUCUAAAAAAGUUAUUUUUUCUUAUUUCAAUCUAGACGCCAAAAAAAAAACAAAAAAAUGGAGAAAACUCCAACUGAAUCUGAUCCUGUUGUCAUUCAAUCUGUUCAAUCUGAUGAGUAUUUAAUGUUGGAAUUAUCUUCACUGAGACAAACUACGAUAUUUGGUCUUAAAUAAUGGAGUUGCAUCUCGCAGAAAGAGAAAAACUCUCAUAUAUUUGUAGCAACACAAAGUCAUCUGAGGAAUCUUCAAAGGAAUAUGAGAAAUGGUAUAGUGAGAAUGAAAAGGUAAAAAAAUGGUUACUCAUAUCCAUGUCUCUGGAUAUCAUGAAGUGAUAUUUACGAAUUCCUACAGCCUACGAAAUAUGGGAUGCAUUAUCAAAAGCCUUCUAUGAUGGAAUCGAUGAAUUACAAGUUUUCACUCUAAACCAGAAGGCGUCUCUACCAAGAAAAAUUGACAGCCACUAUCUAAAUUCUACGGAGAAUUGAUCGAAAUAUUUUGAGAACUUGAUCACCGAGAUAAAGUGAUCAUGAAGGAUCCAGAAGAUGUUGUAAUAUACAAAAGGUCUGUUGAAAGAUUGAGAGUUCACAUUUUUCUUGUUGGGCUAGAUGAAGAAUUUAACCAAGUUCGUGGAGAAAUUCUAUGAAAAGAUAUUAUCCCAGACUUAGAAGAAUGUUAUUCUUUGAUCUGAAGAGAAGAUGUACGGCAAAACAAACUAAACAAGAAGGUCGACUCAGAAACGUUUGCUAUGAUAGCACGACAACAGCCUCAAAGGAAGCUUGUUGACAAGUCAUCACUCCAUUGCACUCAUUGUAGGAAGAAGGGUCAUAUGAAAGCACAAUAUUUUGAAAUCAUUUGAUAUCCUGACUGGUGGGAUACUUGAAAGAAAAACAUCAAGCAGGGAUAAAAAACUGCAGUAGCUGAAUCCACAUCCACUACAGAUCUUAGAAAAGAAUCUUCAGUGCAAAUCGCAACCUCUGUUAGUCCAGGUAAGGCCCUUAAAACUCUUAUACUUGUUAUUAAUAGUACAUGGAUAAUUGAUUCUGGGGCAACUGAUCAUAUGACUUUUGAUUCUCGACAAGUUUCUCAAUUGAUACCAUCUUCACAAAAACAUGUUUCCACUCCAAAUGGAACCACAACCUUAGUUAUUGGGGAAGGAUCUUUACGACUCACAUAUAAAUUAAAUUUAGACUCUGUGUUAAUUGUUCCAUCUUUAGAUUAUAAUCUUUUAUCUGUGUCUCAAUUAACCACUUACUUAUCAUGUGUUGUAAUUUUUUGGCCUGAUCAUUGUGUGUUUAAAGACAUCCAAACGAAGCAAACGAUUGGUUAUGGUAUUAGACGGGGCCACUUGUACUAUUUGGAGAUGACAUCAACAAACACUGGAAAGCUAAGCCCUGCACUAGUCGCAGAUAGUUCCAUAAAAAAAAGGAAAUCAGAAAUUUGGUUAUGGCAUAGACGUUUAGGGCAUGUGUCAUUUGGUUACUUAAAAAAAUUAUUUCCUAGUUUAUUUCUGAAAUUUGAUAUUUGUAACUUUAAAUGUGAUGUUUGUGAACUUUUAAAAAGUCAUCGAACUACUUUUCCAUUGUCCUUAAAUAAGAAUCAAGUUCCUUUUAUGGUAGUACAUUCUGAUGUAUGGGGGCCAUCGAAAGUUUCUACAAUUGGAGGUGCUCGUUGGUUUGUUACAUUUAUUGAUGAUUGUAGCAGAAUGACAUAGAUUUUUCUGAUGAAAUCGAAAGACGAAGUAAACUCUUUAUUUUAAAGAUUUCAUAAGAUGGUGACGACUCAAUUUCAGACACAAAUUCGAGUUCUACAUACUGAUAAUGGAGGCGAGUAUAUGAGCACAACAAUUCAACAGUUUCUGAAAUCACAAGGAACUGUCCAUCAAACCACUUGUGUGGGGACACCCCAACAAAAUGGCAUUGUUGAACGAAAAAACAGACAUUUACUAGAAGUUGUUCGAGCAUCACUAAUCCAGGCCCACAUGCCACUAUCUUAUUAGGGAGAAGCACUGGCAUCCGCAGCAUACUUGAUCAAUCGAACACCUUCAAGCUCCCUUGGAUUCCAGACUCUUUUCCAGGUUCUAAAUGAUGCAAUUAUGUCACCAAAUGUGCCGAAUUUACCCCCACAUGUGUUUGGCUGUGUUGCCUUCGUUCAUUUGCCGCAACAAGACAAAUUAUCUCCUCGAGCACUACGUUGUGUGUUUGUAGGGUAUGCCUUACAGCAAAAGGGAUACCGAUGAUAUGAUCCACCAUCAAGAAAAAUAUACAUCACCAUGGAUGUCGUCUUUCAUGAAGAUAUCAUAUACUACUUGUCAAAGCCUGAAUUUCAGGGGGAGUAUAAUGAAGAGGAAAUUCAUAAUCUUAUAUAUCUUCCACCUAAAGAAGAUCAAUCUUCCAUUGAGGUUGUAAACCUUCAAGAUACUGGAAAAGAAAAUGGUGGUGAUUCUCAGGCUGAGAUAAGUGAAGACACAUUUGGGGAGCAAAAUAACUUAGACACAACUGCAAUCGAGAAUGAGUCACAUGAAGAAAUACCUAACUAAUCGUCUGCAGAGGAUGUUCCUACCACAAGUCCUAGUCUAGUCAGAAGAAUUCUUCCUCAGCGUCAAAAUAGAGGUAUCCCUAAACCCACAUAUGAGCCCGACCUUUCUAGUAGAGUCAAAUACCCUAUGAUUUAUUUUGUGUCUAACCAUCGCUUGUCAGAAUCAAAUCAGUCAUUUGUGAAUCAAUUAUCUACUGUAUCUAUUCCUAAUAGUGUGCAGGAAGCCUUAAAAGACCCAAAGUGGAAAGCGACUAUGAAUGACGAAAUGUGAUCUCUUCAAAAAAAUCAAACAUGGGAACUAGUUGAUCUUCCACCUGGAAAGAAACCAGUGGGUUUCCGAUGGAUCUACACUAUAAAGUACAAAGCAGAUGGCUCUAUUGAACGAUACAAAGCAAGGCUCGUAGCUAAGGGUUACACCCAAACCUACGGGAUAGAUUAUGCCAAUAUGUUUGCACCGGUAGCAAAAAUUAAUACUAUUCGUAUCUUAUUAUCAUUAGCAGUCAACUUGGAUUGGCCAGUGUAACAGUUCGAUGUAAAGAAUGCUUUCCUCCAUGGAGACCUGUCUGAAAAAAUUUAUAUGGAUAUGCCACCAGGAUGUAGUGGACCAGAACGACUCAAUCAGAAAGUAUGCAAAUUGAAGAAAUCAUUGUAUGGGUUGAAGCAACCCCUAAGAGCAUGGUUCGGGAAAUUCACAAAGGCUAUGGUUCUUUUUGGGUAUAACCAAAGCAAUUCAGAUCAUACCUUGUUCAUUAAAAAAUGACAAGGUAAAAUCACUGCCCUCAUUUUCUAUGUGGAUGAUAUGGUAGUCAUAGGUAACGACGGGGAAGCAAGAGAGGCUCUUCAGAAGUACUUGUCGAGAGAGUUUGAGAUGAAGGAUUUAUGAGCCUUAAAAUACUUUCUUGGAAUUGAGGUUUCUCGAUCUAAGGGAGGAAUUUUCCUGUCUCAAAGGAAAUAUGCUUUAGAUCUAUUAAACGAAACGUGAAUGACAGCUUGUCAGCCUAUUGACACCCCAAUAGAAGAAGGACUGAAGUUUUGUAUUACCUCAGACUAAGUUCCAGUAGACAAAGGAAGAUAUCAAAGGCUGAUUGGAAGAUUGAUGUACUUGUCCCACACAAGGCCAGCUCUUGCUUAUGCAUUGAGUGUUGUAAGUCAGCUUAUUCAUAAUCCCGGAGAACAACACAUGAAAGCAGUAAUGCGGAUCCUAAGGUACCUGAAGUCAAAUCCAGGAAAAGGAAUCCUAUGUUCCAAAAAUGGAGAUUACAGCAACAUAGAAGUUUAUACUGAUGCAGAUUGGGCCCGGUCAGUUAGUGAUAGACGCUCUACCUCAGGAUACUUUACCUUAGUGGGAGGCAACCUUGUCACAUGCUGCUUCACUUGCUGCCAAUCCAGUUCAUCAUUCAAGAACAAAACAUAUAGAGAUUGAUGUUCACUUUGUGAGAGAUAUAAUUUCCAACGGCGGAGUGGAAGUAAGAUAUGUCCCUACUGAAUAUCAGCCUGCAAACAUCUUCACAAAAGCUCUUCCUGCUGAUAUGUUUCAACAGUUGCGAGACAAGCUACAUAUUCUUCCUAGAACAUUGCGCUUGAGGGGGCAUUAUGAAAAUAUUGUAGCAGAGCUACCAAACUUGAGUAAUACGAAUUCAAAGUUGUUAGAUGACAUGGCAGCACACUUGGCAUUCAUUGGUGUUUUGGAAAGUUAAAGUGAUCAACCUUAUCUCUUAGCUUAUCAUUAAUUCAAGCUGCACUUUUGUAUUUAUCAAGAUCAAGAUAAAGAUAACAAUUGUGCUAGGCUUGAUCUUAUUCUUGGCAUUAUCGUGUUUCCUGUAGAGCAUUAUAAAUGUAAUGAUUAUGAGAUGAAUAAAAUAACGAAAAUGUGUUUUGUUUCUUCUUUAAGCUCAUCUUUAUAAUUUAAGUUGGUAUCAGAGCAUGGCGAGCUCCAAUUCUGCGAAAUUAGUCAAUAUGAAUACUGUAAACCAAACACCACAAAUUUCUAAUUUUUUGACUCCUGUCAAAUUGGAUAGGCAAAAUUUUAUGAUAUGGAAGUCUCAAGUGCUACCUUCCAUUCGUGGUAACAAUCUUGAAAGCUUGAUCAAUGGAGCAAAACUUGUACCCACUAAAUUCUUGGUGCAAGUAGAAGAGGAUCAAACAGUAACGACUGUGGAAAAUCCAGAAUAUAUACAAUGGCUGAGACAAGAUCAGCUUUUACUUAGUUGGCUUUUGUCCACUAUGACUGAAUCAGUUUUAAGCAUAGUGGUGCAGUAUACAACCUCUUUUGAGGUUUGGAAUGCCUUGAAGACAUUGUUUGCAUCUCAGUCAAAGGCUAGAAUUUUGUAGCUCAAGAUGCAACUCCAAACCACGAAAAAGAAUGCUAUGACCAUGAGUGACUAUGUCAACAAAAUGAAAAAUUUAGCUAAUAGCCUGGCAAUGGCUGGAAAAUAUGUUACUGAAGAUGAUUUAAUUUCUUAUAUUCUUGCAGGUUUAGGAACUAAAUACGACCCUGUGGUUGUAAAUAUUACAGCAAGAACAAAUGAUUUAUCUCUGCCUGAAGUAUCCUCUCUUUUGCUCAAUCAUGAAAGUCGAAUGGAACAACUCUCAGCUGCUGCAAAUCUUGAGUCUAAAGGCAGUUUUAAUGCAAAUUUUGCAGGAGCUUCUUUUCACAAAAGGAAAGUUAUAAGAAAAGGCUUUAUGUCAGGAAGUUUAUGAGGCAAUGAACGUGGUAGAGGCAAAGGAAGAACCAAUUUUAGCCGUGGUGGAAAUAGGCCAACCUGUCAGAUAUGUGGCAAAUAUGGACAUUCAGGAUAUCAAUGUUUCUUCCGCUUUGAUCGGGGGUUCUCUGCAAGACAAGAGGCAACACAAGCAGGUCAAGCCUCUGCCUAUAUGGCACUCCCUGCUGAAGAAAUAGAUAAUGGAUGGUAUUUGGACAGCGGAGCAACACACCAUGUUACAAAUGAUUUAAACAAUCUGCAGAUUAAGUUAGAAUUUAAGGGAGGUGAGAAGCUGGUAGUAGGUAAUGGUAAAACUUUAGCAAUAUCUCACAUUGGCAGUGCACUUAUUUAUAUUCCAAACCAUGAACCAUUGUUGCUUAAUGACAUUUUAUAUGUGCCCAAAAUCACCAAGAACUUAAUUAGCAUUUCAAAAUUACUUUCUGAUAAUAAACUAAUGCUUGAUUUCUGUGACAAUGUUUGUACUCUUAAGGACAAAGUUCUGGGGAAGAAGCUGCUGCAGCGAAAAAUUGAAAGAGGCUUAUAUCGGCUACCAGUGCUUUCAAGACAAGCCAUUCUAUCUGAUUCAAAAAUUAUUUCCAAUAAAUCUUAUUAGUCUUCUCUUCCAUUUAGCUGUUUCAAUUCUAGCUCAACAAUAAGUUCUGUAAAUGAACAAGAAUUUAUUUCCAAUUCCAAGCCUAGCAGUUUUAUAAAUCUUUUGCACAGAAGGAUGAGACAUCAUCAUCUUGCUGUACUAAAACAAAUUCUACCUUUGUGUAACAAAACAAGUCAGUUAAAUAAAAAUCUCAUUCCUCAAUUCUGUGAUGCAUGUCAACAAGGAAAAAGUCAUAGGCAAACUAUCAAAGCAUCAAAUAGUAGAGCUUCAGAACCUUUAGAAUUAUUGCAUCUUGACUUGUGGGGGCCUGCACCUUUAAUGUCUAGAAAUGGCUACAAAUAUUAUUUGAGUAUUGUAGAUGACAACACACGUUUUACAUGGAUAUUUCCACUUAAAGUUAAAUUACAAGCGUUUGAAGCUUUUAAGUAUUUCAAAGUUCAAGCCGAAAAACAAUUAGGAAAGAAAAUCAAAAGUUUACAAACUGACGGUGGAGGAGAGUUUCAAGCAUUUACAAUUUUUUAAAAGAACAGGGUAUUAUUCACUGACUUUCUUGCCCACACACGCAUCAUCAAAAUGGUAGAGUGGAGCGAAAACACCAACAAAUUGUAGACACUGGUUUAACACUUUUGGCAUAGGCUGGCAUGCCACUCACUUUUUGGUGGGAUGCUUUUCAAACAUCUGUUUAUUUAAUUAAUAGAAUGCCUACUUCCAUCUUAGAAAACAAAUCACCAUUUCAAAUACUUUAUGAUGAAGAAUAGGAAUCAAUAUUAUACUAGGAUUAGUUUCCUUAUUAACUAAAGUUUAAGACUUUUAAAUUCCUUUCUAAUUUAGAAUUUUGUUUCCCUUUCAAUUUAGGAUUUUGUUUUACUUCAUGAAUUAGGAUAAUUAUUACUACUAUAAAUAGCUCCCUCUUGUAGCCUUUAAAGGCAGAGAAUUUUGAGUUUAAUAAUAUUUCAAUUUUCAAAUCUCUUUGUGAGUAUUUGAACAGUUAAUUCUCGGUAUUCUGCGAAAUCAACGAGUCUUAAAUCCCUAAGUUCGCGGUAUUCUUUUGAAUCAACAUGAAUUUAGUUGUUCUUUUAUUCUGGUAUUCUCUAGAAUCAACGGAAUAUUUUGAAUAUUAAACUUCCACUGCAUCACUUUACAAGAAAAUACCUGAUUAUUCUUUUCUAAAAGUUUUUGGAUGUGCUGUAUUUCCUCAUCUUCGAGAUUACAACAAACAUAAAUUAGAUUUUUGAUCAGAUAAAUGUAUAUUUUUAGGCUAUAGUACAGCUCAUAACGGGUAUAAGUGUCUCCACAAGUCAGGAAAAAUUUUUGUAAUGCGACAUGUUGUCUUUAAUGAAUAUGAUUUUCCUUUUAAAAGUGAUCCCUCCUUCAAAAUCUCAAAGAGUUAUCCAAAUCAUGAUUCUAGUACUCUCUUUCAGUCUCCUAUGUUUGCAGGUUUUGAAAGUCCUAGAGCCUAUAAGACUCUCUCGGUUAUUCAUGCAACAGACUCUCUACUAGAGUUGGUUCAUAACACAAUAGUUAUAGAUCAGGCAUCAAGUCAAGAUGAGGAAACCAAUUUUGAAUCCAACACCAAAAGCCCACCUGGAAAAGCCAACCUUGAAUCAAGCACUGAAAUCCAAGCAACUGAAAACACCACACAAUCUUUAUCUAUCCCCGCGUUUAUCAAUCAAGAAGCCGAUCACACAAUCUCUCAACCACCUAGUUCAACUCCUCAUUCUCAACAGCCAACACAUACACAAUCCACUCAUCCAAUGAUCACUCGUGCCAAGGCCGGCAUCUUUAAACCCAAACCUAGACUUUACCUAACAACCUCUCAUACCAAAAUAAGUGUACAUGCCAGUGUUAGUGAAGCUUUGGAAGAUCACAAUUGGCGUAAUGCUAUGACAGAAGAAAUGAAUGCUUUGGCUAGGAAUAACACACGGUGUUUAGUUCAACCUACUUCUGACAUGAAGAUUGUGGGAAAUAAAUGGGUUUUUCGGAUAAAACAAAAGGCUGAUGGUUAGAUAGAGCGAUAUAAGGCUCGGUUGGUUGCAAAAGGAUUUCAUCAGACCCCAGGAAUCGAUUUCAACGAGACUUUUAGUCCUGUUGUUAAAGUUGCAACAAUUCGAUUGGUGUUAAGUAUUGCUGUGAUGAAAAAUUAGGGUGUAAUACAACUGGAUGUGAACAACGCCUUUUUAAAUGGAGACUUAGUAGAAGAUGUUUACAUGAUGCAGCCUGAAGGCUUUAUCAACAAAGCACAACCAAAUCAUGUGUGUAAAUUGAGAAAAGCAUUGUAUGGGCUUAAGCAGGCUCCAAGAGCUUGGUUUGAAAAACUCAAGAGAGCAUUGAGUGACUGGGGUUUCACAAAUUCUAAAUUAGACACAUCACUAUUUAUUUUGCAGCAAGGAAGGGAUAUAAUAUUUGUCCUUAUUUAUGUGGACGAUAUUUUAAUAACAGGAAGUAAAGAAAGUUUGGUGCAAGAAGUUAUUGAACGACUUAAUUGUCAGUUUGCUUUAAAAGUGCUCGGACCAUUAAGCUAUUUCCUUGGUCUUGAAGCUCAUCGCACAGAGAAUGGCCUACAUCUUAGCCAACACAAAUAUAUUUGUGAUCUCUUGAAGCGCACAGAUAUGGAUGGCUGCAAGGAAACAUCUACUCCUAUGAGUGUAGUACCGAAACUUUCAGCUGAAGGUGGUAAGCAAUUUUCUGAUCCUACACUUUAUCGUAGCAUCGUUGGAGCCUUAUUAUACGUAACUAUUACUCGGCCUGAAAUUUCUUAUGCUGUUCAUCGUUUAAGUCAGUAUAUGCAAAAUCCUUUACAGCCGCAUUGGCUUGGGUGUAAAAGAAUCCUUAGAUAUUUACAAGGAACAGCUGAUUAUGGAAUUUAUUAUACUACCAAAGGAAGAAUGACGCUCACAGGCUAUACAGAUGCAGAUUGGGCAAACAAUAUUGAUGAUAGAAAAUCAACUGGAGGCUACUGUAUUUAUCUUGGCAAUAACUUAAUCUCAUGGAGUUCAAAGAAACAAAAUGCAGUAGCAAGGUCUUCAACUGAGUCAGAGUAUCAAGCACUUGCAAAUACCACAGCAGAAAUUUUAUGGCUUCAAUCUGUGCUUAAAGAGUUGCAGGUGCCACUAACUGAAAUUCCAAUUAUUUGGUGUGACAACACUGAAGCUGCUUCACUUGCUGCCAAUCCAGUUCAUCAUUCAAGAACAAAACAUAUAGAGAUUGAUGUUCACUUUGUGAGAGAUAUAAUUUCCAAAGGUGGAGUGGAAGUGAGAUAUGUCCCUACUGAAUAUCAGCCUGCAGACAUCUUCACAAAAGCUCUUCCUGGUGAUAGGUUUCAACAGUUGCGAGACAAGCUACAUAUUCUUCCCAGAACAUUGCGCUUGAGGGGGCAUCAUGAAAAUAUUGUAGUAGAGCUACCAAACUUGAGUAAUACGAAUUCAAAGUUGUUAGAUGACAUGGCAGUACACUUGGUAUUCAUUGGUGUUUUGGAAAGUUAAAGUGAUCAACCUUAUCUCUUAGCUUAUCAUUAAUUCAAGCUGCACUUUUGUAUUUAUCAAGAUCAAGAUAAAGAUUACAAUUGUGCUAGGCUUGAUCUUAUUCUUGGCAUUAUCGUGUUUCCUGUAGAGCACUAUAAAUGUAAUGAUUAUGAGAUGAAUAAAAUAACGAAAAGGUGUUUUGUUUCUUCUUUAAGCUCAUCUUUAUAAUUUAAGUAAAGGGACUUUUGCAUAGCCUCUGGUGUGUGUGUGAUUUCUCUUUCGUUUCCUCAUCAAAUUCUGUAAUUCUUGCUUCGAUAAAAAGCUUUUAAUCUCUUCUGUAGUGUGUGAUCAGUGCGUAAUCAUUUUGAGCAAUAACAGCUUGUGGGUUUUUCCUUCAAACAGUGUCGUUUUGGUCAGUUUGUUAGUUUCUGUGUUCGUCUGAUUCCAUUGCUCUUGUUCUCUGUUCUUGAUCUGUUCGUGGAAUUUUUCUUUGGUUAUUUGUUCUCAAAUUUCAACUGUAUAUAAAGUUUGAACUCUGAUUGCUUAUAAUGUAUUGAUUAAGAAUAAUCCUAAGAGUUCCCGAUUGAAAUUUUUAAUGACUAUUUUUAUUGUUUUGGAUAUACAAAUUGAAUUAAGAAAAAAUAUUGUCAAAUUCAGAGGAUAAGGGGAAAUAAUUAUGCUUCAAAAGGCCAGAGAUUAGAGAAUAAAGAAGCAUUCAUUACUCUAUCAAAAAAAAAAAAAAAAAAAAAGCAUUCAUUACUGAUAUACAAACUGCUUUUAUUUGGAUUUUGGAAGGGGUGAAGUUUUGAACUUCAGUUGUUCCUCUAAAAUCAAAAGCAGCAAUUAAGCGUUCUCAAUUAGAAAGAGCUAAGAAGACUUAUUGGUACCUUACUGAAGCUAACAUUAUGGCACAGUUGUUCAUAUAUAAUGGCUGCUCUGUUAUGCUAGCUUCUCUGUUUUUGCUUCUAUUUUUGCUUACAGUUUUGAACAUAAAUUCUUGCUCAAAUAACCCAUAAUUAAAUAACACUAAUAUGGCUCGUGAAAUCCCAUAAUAGCUAAUUACGCAACUUUCUCCUCCUCCUCAAUUCUGUCUUCCCCUGCUCGUACACUAAAUUCAAAAUUCAAUGCCCCGAAAAACAACACAAGAAAUCUUUGAGUUAAUUCGCGACCAGUUUAUAUAUAGUAGCAAUUGAAAAAGGAAAAAGAAUAAAAGAGUUCAUUAUUAUUCAGACCUUCACUUAUUAGGAAGUUUGUUCUGCUGUUGGGUGAGAUCAAGCUCUCAGCAUAUACUUCCACAUUAUACUUUCUAACAUUUUCUUGAAAGCCAUCAAUCAUAAAAUCUUCAUACUUUUUUCCAUCCUUUGGAUCAAUAAGUACAAAUUUCUCAUCUAAAACAGACAAAAUAAAAUCACUGUCCUUCAUGGAACAUAAUGGCUGCAAUGCCUGAACUGAAUUGGCUAAUGAAAUUUGAGUCCAGGAUUCUCUCAGCCCAUAUUCUUUCAUAAUCCAAAAUUCUUUUCUUUCUCGACAUGGAACAUAGUCUUCUUUUCUUUCUGGACAUAUGUCUCUGUACUUUUCUCUCUCUACUGAUCCACACUUUUUCAUACUUCUAACUAUCAUUUUGUUUUUUUUUUGUUAAGUUGUGAUUUAUUCAAUUAUUUUGUAUUUUUAAUGAAAAUUAUUUAAUAUUUAGUUAGUUUUGAUAUUGAUUAGUGAUUGAAAGUGUAUUUUAGAAGACUUCCGGUCUCUUGGAAAAAGGAAAAAUGGAGACGAAGAAGAAGUGUUCUUGAUUUUUUUGUAGGCAUUAAAGUUAAACGGUUUGAAAUGAUAUUUUGUUUUAAUUUCACUCAUUAAUCUCAUUCAGGAUAAAAUUAUAAAUGCAAAUAAAUGGGGUUUCAUGAGUUUUUUUUAAUAGUGUUAAAAGGUCUACUCACUAAAUAAAUAUGUUUAACCCAAACCAAUGCGAUUAGUAAGUUAUUGGGUUGGGUUGAUCAGGUUAAAAAUUAAAAUUAAAAAUUAAAUAAUUAAAAAAGGCAUAAAAACUAUCUGUUACUUGAAAAUAAAAAGAAUUUCUAAUAGUUAGUUCUAAUGUCCCAUAUCCAAAACAUCCAUAUUAAAUAAAUAUUAUAAGUUAGAAAUACAAUAUCCAAGAAAGAAUGAAUGAAAUACCAUAUUUUUGUUGAGAAUUAAGAGUGUGAUUUUAAUUUUGAUAUUGGAGUCUAAAGUGCCACGUUUAAAUAAUCUCUUUUAUAAAAUAAUAAAAAGAGAUUAAAAAUUAGGUUAGCCAUUUAGGCAUUCAGGGUUUAGCAAUUAAGGAUGAACAUAUUAUUGUUGUUGUUUUUUGUUGUUGUUGUUGUUGUUGUUGUUGUUAUUAUUAUUAUUUAUAUGUUUACUAAUCCAAUUUACGUAUAAGUACAAAAGUUUCAAAUAUUGUCUAUUAUUUUUUUAACAUGCCUAUUCCUUGUGGAUAAUUCUGUCUCAUCACUAAUGUUGUUUCUUGCUUACAAUUUGUAUAGCGUCUCAAAAUAGACAAUAGGGGGAUUUUGAAUUUUUUAAGUCUCAAUAUAGUCUCUUAUCUUGUGAGACAGAUUUUCUUUCAAUAAUUUGGAGGUAAACAUAACAUAACUUUUUGGACUAAAGCCUAGCUCUGCUAAUUAGUAAUUGGUGGUAUCCUUUUCAAGACCUGAGUCUUUAAAUUCGAGUUUUAUAUAGUGCGCAUGUGUAUUUAAUUAAUAUUUUUUUAAAAAAAUUACAUCAAAUACUAAUAUUCAUGACAUAAUUUAGUUCAUAAUGUUUUUUUAAAUACAUCGAAAAUAUAAUUUUUUAACAACUUAUAGGCAUGACAAAUUUCAAGAUAUAAAUAUCAGUCAAAAUAAGUGAAAGAAAUAAUGGUGCCAAUUCUAAUUUCUUAACUAAAUUAAUUACUGCAUGAGCCCCCAAUACGGCACGAGAGUUUGAUGGGCUAACUUGGCACAAGAACAAUAGUUAAUUGAUUUAAGAAAUAAUUCAAUGAAAAAUAUAAUUGAUAAGAAUUUAGUAUUGAAAUGAGUUUUUUUCGAAACACUGAAUUAAUGAUUAUUAAGCAAGAACAAUAAAAAAAAUAAAAUAAAAAAUAAAGAUUAACCAUUGAUAAGCUUCAACAAGAACUUAACACAACCCUCAAUCCUAAUUCAAAUUAUAAAUGUCAUUCAUAUAUUCAUUAUAAAUCAAUAACAAAGGUUAUAAAUGUUUAGAAAUUCUAGAGGGAAGGAAGCUAUCGCCGGGCAAUCAACAACUAAAUUUGAUGUAAUUGUGGCACAAGAUGGAAUAUGAAAACUACACCAUAAUUUCAAAUGCCGCCAUAGACAUUGACUUAUCUACAGUAACAAUGAUCUAAUUAAAAUUAAAAUAAAGUUUAUGGGCAUUUAUUAUAUUUGCCAUUCCUCAUUUGCAAAUAGGGAUAUAAUUAUAAUUUUACUUAGUCAAAGCAAUCAGUAAUUUUUAGGGGUGUUCAAAAUUCAAUCCGAUCCGCUCAAUCCGUCUGAUCCGUAGAAAUCCGAUCCGUAAAAAUCUGAUCUGUGGAUUGGUAGAUUGGAUUGAAUUGAAAAUUUGAUAAUCCGCAAUCGGUGGAUUGGGUAUGGAUCUACUUCUGUAAAUUCGUAAAAAUCCGUGAAUCGGCAAAAAAUAAAAAGUAUUUAUUUAUUAAAAAAUAAAACUUGUAAAUAUGGCAAUAGUACUUACUAGUAAAUAAAUAAGUUAAAAUAUAGUUACAUUAACACUAUAUUAUAUCUUAUCCGAUAAUAAUAAAAAAUAAAAAAUAAUUAAAUAAACAAAUAUAACUUUCUAAAUAGUUAAUUUUCAUGUACUGAUCUAAACGAAUGAGAUUUUUUUUUUUUCAUUUUGGUGUGUUAUGUUUUGAACUUUAAAUGUAAUUUUUAGUUUUAUUUAAACAAGUAAUUUAUUUAAAUCUUAUUUAAUUUUAAAUUUGAUCGGCAAUAAAAUUAUUUAUAUUAAUUUUUUUUUAUUUAGUUAGUUCGUAGAUUGGACAGUAUUAAAAAUUUUCAGUCCGUAAACCAAUUCGCAAAAUGGUGGAUUGGAUAUGGAUUGGGUCAAAUCCGCAUCCAAUCCGCAGAUGUAUGAAUUGAAUUUCACCAAUCCAUGAAUUGGAUUGGAUUAAAAAUUUAUAAUCCGCAAAAUCGUGGAUCAGAUAUGGAUUGAGGUCCAAUCCGUAAAAUUUGAUCCGGAAACACCCCUAGUAAUUUUCUUCAUUAUAGGAGUGAAGUAAAAACAUUUAGAUUUUAAUGUAUGUACGGAAAAAUUUAUCUUUAAAAAUACUUUCUUAAUGUGUGUAUAUAUAUUGAAAUACUCAAACCAAUUUUGGUUAUUAUAUAAUUAAACAAAUUUUAAAAUAUGAAAAAUAUAAUGUAGUUAUAGUGGAUAAACAAUAAGUGAGCGCAAUAUAAUUAAUCAAAUAUCAUGCCAUCAAAAGUUAAUUUUAGAAAUUCCAAAUCCAACAGCCAACACAAUUCUUUUAAAAAAAAGCUGACACAAUUAAUAAAAUUAGUGACAUGAAUUUCACACCAUUGAUAAUAAGCAAUUAGUAUUACUUUCUAAACUUGCUUCAACUGGUCGUUGAUGUCCGGGGUCACCAAAAGUAUAAGCAAUAAUAAGGGGCAUUGGGCAAGAGUGAUGAAUGUUUAGUCGGUGCAUUUGAUUGCUAGAUAUAUAAAGGGCCGAAACUUGAGAUUAUAUUACUUUUACAAAUUUUAAUCCAAUCACAUAUUUAAUGAAAACAAAAUGAGUUAGGAUACUUUAUUUAGAACCCACAUUUUAAUAAGGCUUCAUUUGAUGUAGUUUUUUAAACAGUGAUUAUUUAAGUAAAUUUUCCUCAAUAGAGUUUUUAUCAAACAAAUUUAUUUAUUUAGUUGUCGAUAAGAGUUUUUAUUAAAAAUUAUAAAAUUAUUUAAAUAAACAUGUUUUUUAAAAUUACAUUAUAAAAAUAAUUAAAUAAAAUUAUAAAAGUAAAAUAUAUUUUAGAUAUUUUAAUAUUUAAGAAAAAUUUUCAAUCUCUACUUUCAAAAGCUCAAAUUUUUAGCUUUUAGUUGUAGAGACAAAAUAUUUUAUUUAAUCUUUAAAAGUUAUGCUAAAAACAAUCAAAUAACUACAAAAAUUUUAAUAAGAGUAUAUAAAAUUAAAUGGUAAUUUUUAAAAACCUCCCCUGAGGUUUGGGCUUGUUGCAAGUAGAUGGCGAGAAUCCAUUUAUUUGUAACAAACCCCCUACCGUCAGUUAAUUUUUGCAUUAACCGUUAGUUGACUGUGCAAAGACAAUAUUGUCCCUAAUGACAGUUUGUAGACUGACAUAGCUAAAAAAAAUGCUGAGAUUGUCGGCACGAAAAUCACAAAUAAUUUUUUUUUGACAAUUUUGUCCUUGUUAAUUCCAAGAUUUACAAUGUCAUAAGUAAGGAUUAUGACUAUUUUACCCUCUUAAAAUUAUUGAUAAUUCCUUAAAAUUUCUACAAAAAAGAUAAAAUUAAAAACUUGAAGAAAAAUAAAGUUCUCAAGCCGGCUAACCAAACACAUAGAAUAAAAAAUCCAUCGUUUGACAACAAAAACAACUUUCCAUAAACCCAAACAAAAAUAAACAAGUCCCCAUUACUCUAAUUGGCUUUGCUUGGAGCUGUUACUAUUGUGCAUACAUUUCUAGGCAAAGCAAAAUGACCCCAUGAUAUAAACCUUAUAAAACAUGCCUCCACUAUUCUUAAUUUUGGUAUAAUAAUAAUAAUAAUCACAAAAAAUUAAUUGAAAACUUGACUAAUUAUCUUUGGUGGAGAAUUUUAAACCGAAACCGAUUCAGGAACCUUAAAUUGAUCAAAAGGAAGCUAAUAAUGACAAAAAAGUAACCGAUCAAAAAUCAUUAAGCAUAAAAAAAUAUUGAAUUUAAAUAACUAAAAAUGCCAUCGGAAAUUGAAAUUAAUUAUUUAACAUAUAGCAUGAAAACAAAUCUUCACUAUUGGUGCUAGGCGGCUGUCGUUUAGCUUGGUUCUAAGAGGUGGCAGUCAGUCAACUUCGAGACGGUGCGUUCGAAGUCAACUAAGCUGCAGCAGAGGUUGCAGGGGGCAGAUUGCAGCGAAGUCGCGGUGGAGCAGAGGUCGCGUCGCGGUGGAGAAGAGGUCGCGUUGCGCUGGCUUGGCUUCACGGUGGUGGGAUGGCUGGGCGGGCUGGCCAGCUGUGUGCGCAUUGUAUAUGAUUGUUUUUCACUUUUUUAAUAUUUUCUUGUGCAUUAGUUCAGAUUAGAUUAGUGAGUUUGUGUGUGUGUUUGCAGUUGAUUUGGUUAAGAUAUUUAGGUUAAAAUAAUUUUUUUUAAUAAAUUUUUUUUUUCAAAAUGUCAACAAUGCCCACAACUACCCAAAUGGCAACUAAGCAGAGUAAAAACGUAGGGGUUUUUUUUUAUAAAUAAAUAGAUUCUCGUCAUCUAUUUGCAACAAACUCAAAUCUCGGGGGAGGUUUUUAAAAAUUACCCUAAAAUUAAAUAAGCAUUUAUUAAUAAUCACUUUGGUAUACUUAUCUAAUGACCAUAAGUGUUUAUUUAAUCUCAUAAGUUCUUAUUUAAUCUCAUGAGCUCUUUUCAAUUUUUUUUGUUGUUUGUUUUUUAGUAGAGUUUUUGAAAAUUAAAUAAACUAUUUUGUCUCUACUAGAAAAAACUCAAAUUUUAGAUUUUUGUGAGUAAAUGUUUAAUUUUUUAAAAAAAUAUUAAAAUAUCUAAGAUAUCUUUCCUUUAUUUCAUAAUCUUAUUUCAUUUUUUCAUAACAUAACUUUCAAUAACUUACCUAUUAAAAUAAUUUCACAAUUUCUAAUAAAAACUCUAAUUGACAAUUAACAAUUUUUUUUUGUUUGUAAAAACUCUAUUUAUAAAAAAUCUAAUAAAAAUUCUAUUUAAAUAAAUUAUAUUUGAAAAGGUGUACUAAACCAACCUAAGAUAAAAACAAAAAUUUUUACAUCCAGACAAUUAAGCUUAAAACAAUUUCAAAUGAAUUUUAGACUAAUCAAAGUACAAUACGUACCAAGUUUGGUAACUUAUUGACAUCUUCUCAUAUAACCUUCGAUCAAGUCGAUUCUCACCUGACGACUAAUUGGUACAUCACCGUUGUUCUCUAUACUCGCAUGCAUCCGAUCACAAAUCUCACUCCAAUUGUCGUCUUUCUUCGGCGUUUUAGCACAUCCUUCUUGAAUUUCCCGCAUUUCGUUCCCUCCUGUUACAAGUCUCCGGUCAGGUCAGUUCUCUUGACGAUUAAUUCGGCAAAUCUCGAAUCUCUUCUCGCGUCGUUUCACUUCAAUUUUUUGUGUCUCCUUUCAGUUUUAGUGAUUGAAUCAAUUUUAUUGCAGUCUGAGAGAAAUUAAGUAAUGCUCUUGGAUUUAAAUUUUUUUUGCUUUCGACUUUAGAUCUCGAAAGUCAAACUCUGCUACGAAUCCUUAGAUUCUCAAUGUUUAUAAUCUUAUUUGUGUUUGACCAGGUAACUGGAUCGUGAAAUUCGUCGUUUUGUAUCAAUUCAAGCUUUCGCGAGCUCAUGGAAUCACCUGGUGAGUUGUGGUGAAACGUUAUCGUUUCAAUUUUCGCUUAAUUCUUUAUUGCAUAUUUUUUCUCUAACAUUUCAGUUUAAUUUAGAAAAGAAAGAGGACCCAAAAAGAGAGAGAGAGAGAGAGACUCUACCAUACUCAAUUCCUUGCUCAUUCUGAUUUGGCCUGAAUGUUGGCAUUGACUAUUAUUUGUUUUCAUUUCGAUUUAAUUCUCAUUUAGACAGUCUUUACUAACGGUCAAUAAUAGUUUAAGGAAAAUGAUAAUAGGGAUUCUGCAAUAAUCUUUUUAAGGAAAAUGAUAAUAGGGAUUCUGCAAUAAUCUUUUUAAGGGAUGUAUAACUUAUUAAUCAGAGUCCUGUUAUUAUGGUUUGACACUACUGACAUAUUGUGUUGGUAUUUAUUUGUACUUCCCUUGGUUGAAUUAUUUGCUGUCCCCAUGCCAUUCGAUAUGGUGCUACUUGGUUUUUGAUCAUCCAUGACGCUAUAUAUAUGUAAAGGAUGAAUUGAUUGUUUUGGCUUGUAUUCUCACAUUUUAUGAUUGAUCGAUGGAAAGGUCUUCAUGUAUUAAAUUCAACCUCACAAGCGUAAGAUUGACAGAUUCUGGGCAAAUUUUCAGGAAAAGAAACUAGACUUCAUGGAAGCAAUGAAGCUUGAAAUUGAACGUCUGCAGCUGAAAGGGAUAGAGCUUUAUUGUCAAUUGGAACUGAUCCUGCCUCUAUAAAUCCAAAUGUAUUGCUUGAUGAAUCUUACAUGGGAAGACUGUCGAGUAGCAACCACUCUUGCAUUACUUGGCCAAACUUCCCUAGAAGACAAAAUUGUUGGUGCAAUGGCCUUGAGAAUAGUGAUGAUAGUGUUUUAGACUUCUGGAAUAUUACUAGAAUCGGAGAGAGUUGUUCUGGUGGCGCGUGCAAGGUUCGUGCAGAAACUAAGGUGCCUGCUCUUGCUUCCUCAACUGCAGCAUCUGUUGGAGCUUCACAAUCCCCUUUGUUGUGUUCUCUGUUGUGUUCUCUGUUGUGUUCUCAAUGUGAAAGAAAAGUUUGCAAAGUUUGUUGUGCAGGAAGAGGAGCUCUACUGUUUUCAAAUUAUAAAUCAAGGGAUGUGACCAACUACAAUGGCUUCUCAAGUCAGAGUGGAUCAAGCCAUGGAAGCCAAGUUGAUGUAUCUACCAGUCGUUCACUAACACUGGAUGGCGUUAUCUGUAAACACUGCUGCCAUGAGAUUGUGCUUGAUACAAGUUCACAACACCAUUACAAAGGAUUCAAAAUUCCCACACGAAAACAUCAAUGUACAGAUUAUAAACAAUCCGAAUUGGACACAAGAAAAACCCUUCAAUGGAUUGCUUGCCUUCCCAAUGCUAUAUACUGUGCAAACUGCGCACUGUCCAAGAAAAUGUUUUCAAUUUAGUGUAUUUUCAAAAUGCUUAUUUUCUCAGAAUAUAUAAAAAAAAAAAAAGAAUUCUUACAUGUUUCAUCAGCAUGAUUAAAAUCAAAGAAGAAAGCGAGACAUAAUGUCUCUGACAUAAUAAAAUUACAAAAAUUUAAAAAAAAAAAAGUUAAAACAUGUAAUCUUCAUAAGCAUAUAAUAAAAUAACACUUCCACAAAUUACUACAAUUUCAUGCAGUAGAGAUUGAAGAGUUGAAUUCCACUUAUAGACACCGACCUCUUAUUUUGUCUAAUGUUAACAAUGAAAAUAACAACAGUAAUGAAAACAACAACAGAAUACAACAACAGAAAACAACAAUCCGCUCUGCAAAUUCUCUUGGGACUUGGUUCCAAUUCCUCUUCAUCCGAAGUUCCACUCGAAUCAAAUUCACUUGCAGCAGUUCCACUCGCGCUUGGCAAAUCAUCCAAUUUCCAAACUUCGGUAGCAAAAUUGAGAGUAAAAGUGUUGGCUUUGGUCUCGCUGGGAUUUGCAUAUACUGGACAUACUCCGUAACGUUUUACCUUGUGACCCUUUUGGUUUUGGUAACAAUUAUUGAAGAACUUAAGUGAGACAGUUGUAUGAUGGUAACCAUCAGGAAAGCCAACAUUCAAGCAAGGUUUAAAACCAAGUAUGACAUGAUCUGAAUCAAGGGAGUAUUUAUUUCUAACACUUGUGGUUGCGGGCCCACUGAAACCUAGAUCAACAUGUUUGGUUUCAGAGAGAGUCUUUAUUUCUAAGUCGAGUUGAGAGCGGCCGAAAACAUUGCAGCAAUAACAAGAACCAACUUUCUUAAAAUUAAGAACCGCACAAAAAGCAAACCCGAUUAAGUUUCUGCAAGAAGAGUGCGGUGGCAGUUGAAUACCUAUCGAAGAUCCUGAACUUUGAUUGUUGAACCAGUCAGGAAUUUCGCUCCCAGGUAAAACAAUUAGGGAUGUCCUGAGUUCAGAAAGUUUCUGUGAAAUGACAUUUAAAAAAAGAAAAUUGUAAAAUGAAAACCAUGAUUUCAGAUAUAACAAAGAGGGACAGAGUAAACAAGAGAGGGAACUUGAUGCGUUCUAAAUGUUCCAUUUUCUCCAAGAUUUCUGGGAAACGCUCAAGGUUCAAGCAGCCAUGAAGAAAAAGCUCAACCAAAGAUUUCAAUUUACAAAACCUAGUUGAAAUCCUCUUCAGCCGUUCGCAAUCCCUCAAAUCCAACUUUUCAAGAUCAGUUAGGCACUCUAUUGAUGAUGGAACUUCUUCUAUUGCAGACUGGCUUAAGUAUAGCCGUGUAAUUUUCCCAGAAAUCUGUGGAAACUCUACGAGAUUAACACAAUAGGAGAAAUUAAUAGUUACUGGACAAACAAAAUGAAGAUUGCUUGGAAAAGACCUAAGACUUUUGCAGCCCACAAAAUCCAACCUACUGAGAUACUUGAAAUUCUGGAUAGAUGAGGGAACACAAGCCAUUUCUCCUUCCCAAAUUUGCUCAACUUUACUAAAACGCAAAUUCAGUCCAACAAGGUUCUUUGGCUUGAAAUUUGAUGGCAGUGUCCUUAAUGGAUAUGUGUCCCAAUGAAGAUAUCUCAAUUUUUUAGGAAGAUAAUCUAGGCCAUUUGGAAGCUGCACUUUAGAGUACGAAAGUUGCUCUUCAAUGCUCAUACUUAGAAGCUUUUCAAUCUCAUACUUAGGUACAUAAAAUUUGAGCAAUCUCAGAUUAGACAUAUUUGUGAAGGCUCCGGGGUCUAAAUUGAUGCCUUUUAUUUUGGACAAAUCCAAAAAUAUGCCUUCAAUUGCAUCGGUCCCCUUAUUAAAAAAAAAAAAAAAACAAAGAAUGGGUAAGCCUAAAACAGAAAAGAAACAUUCGUAAACUUUAUUAACUAAGAGCUCCUAAAACAAAACAAAUUCUACGAUCUUUGAUCUUAUUUUUUUAAUAUAUUAAAUAUCUAUAUGCGAGAAAAGAAAAUUUUGGGAACCAUUGCAAAAUUAAACUAACCGAAAAAAAAAAUCAAAAUUUCUCUAAUUUACAAACCUGUUAUCUUACUAUCUAGAAGUUGAGAAGACAGGGCCUAUUUGAUUGGUAUAAGAUUUCGAUUUUUUUUUUAGUCCAUAGAAUCCAAAAUGUUAGUUCAAAAUUAGGGAAAAAAAUGAAAGUUAUUUUUUUUCCACUAGUUGUAAUUGUAUCCAAGUCAAAUUGAGAUAUGACCCUUUUCGAAAGGAUUUAAUCAUCUUAUAGCCUCCUUAAAGGAGUGAUUGGAGGCCUAACUAGGUAGGCCAAUCAGUCCAUUUUAUUAGCGACUAUUGCUUAAAAACAUUUAUACUCUAAAACACACUUACUUUUUUGAAAAAAAAAUAUAAUUAUAUUGAAGUAGAACCAGGUGGGCCAAUCCUCAUGGCACUCACUUUGUUCUGACACUCUUCACUAAAUUUGAAAAAAAAUAAAAUUAUACUCUUCACACUCUUAUUCAACAUUCCAAAAUUGAUAAAAUCUGGAGUUUUCAUUAAAAAUUUAAAAUUUGAAGACUUGUUCUCUUGACACCCUCAGUCAUUAAUUUUACCUAAUUAUGGUUUUUAUGAUUUUGGUUGUUUUGUUCAUAAAAAUGAUUUUACUAAAGGAUGUUCUGGUAAUAAUAAAAUUUAUAAAAAAAAACAUGGUUGUGCUGGUAUGAUUGGAAAAAUAUGAGUGCAUAACUCCAAACAAAUAAAAGAUAUAUAAAAAAAAAUGGAGGAUUCUUACCAUAUUAUGCUUUAGUACGCGGCGGAUUUCCUUAGGAUCCCACAACCUCUUGCGUUUGCCUGGCUCUUUCUCAGAUUCUUGGCGUCGCCCCAUUUCUUGCAAUAUAUCAUGCAUUUGCAAGCGGUUAUAUGACACUGUUAUGAGUGACUUAUCAACAAGGACAUCCAGUCCAACAGACUCAGAAUCAUCAAGAAUCCUUGCCACAAAAUCUUUAUCCUCUCCCUCAAAGAAACACGCAAUAUCUAGAAAUAUGCUCUGCACCCUGGGCGUUAAUUCAUCAAAACUAAUCUUUAAUUUCUUAUAAAUAGCAUGAAUAUCAGAUUCACAAAUCCGAUUUAAGUCGUGCAAUACUUUUCCCCAAUGGCUUUUCCCCUUGAGGGAGGAACCCAACACUUUAAGAACUAAUGGAUUGCCAUCAGCAUACUUUACAACUCUCCGUGAGUCAGGUUUGAAAUCUUCAGGACAAUGCUUUUCUUUAAAAGCGAAGUUACAAAAAUGCUCGAAAGCCUCAUGAAAAUCCAUUCCAUUAACCCUAUAUAUUUUCUUCUCCUCCACUCCAAAUUUUUCGAGGACUCCUUUAUCCCUAGUGGUUACAACAAUUCUACUUCCUGGAACAAAUUGAUCAAGCUCUCCAAUCAGACCCUCUAAUUGUCCAACUUCAUUCACAUCAUCGAGUACUAUCAACACCUUCAUACGCCGGACCCUCUCUUUAGUAAAAUGUGGAAUAUUGGCACCAGCUACUUCAAGUUUUUCGCUUAAUAUUGUUGAAAGCAUUUCCUUUUGUAGGUCUUCUAGGCCACCCUCUGUUUCUGAUUUUCUCCUAACAUUUUUUGCAAAGUAUUUACCAUCAAACUCACCAGAGAAUUGAUUGAAAAUAGCUUCAGCAAGGGUGGUUUUGCCGAUACCACCCAUGCCCCAAAUUCCAACAAUUUGGACAGUAUCCGACAAAUCCAUACACAAAAAUGGUUUAAUCUGCUCAAUUCGUGAAUUUAAUCCAACUAGGCCGUUGGAUGAGUCCGUUGAGACUGUUAUUUUUUCCAACUUCUUCAAAACAUCUUCGACAAUUUUGUUUACAAGUUCCGCAUCGUGCCUAAUAUAAAGGUGCAAAGAUGCAAAAACAUUGAGUCAAAUCGGGCCAACACAGAAACAGAGAUAAGAUGAAUUAGGAAAGAGAGUUACCUGAAUUUCGUGGAUUCGUGGCCAGCAAGACCGGAUGUUUCUCUCAGUGCAUCCCUCCACCUCUGAACCAUUUCUGGCUUCUCUUUGAACUGUUGUUCGAGCUUACCAAAGCCGACCCCAAAAAUCCCAGUUUGAUGCCGCACAUCGGACGGACUUACGCCAUAGAAAACCGGAAUAAUGAUUUGGCCGUUUGUGUGCUUGCAUUCAAGAAUCUCGACAAGUUCAUACAGGCACCAUUUUGAAGAAGCGUAGUCCGUUGAGAAAAUGACCACCGAAAUUUUUGAACCUUGGAUUGCGUUCAAAAGGGCAGGUGAAAUCUCAUCUCCGCGCCUAAGCUCUUCAUCAUCAAUAAAUGUUCUGAUUUUCUUUCUUUUAGACAAAGCAUCAUAGAGAUGGCAAGUAAAGAUCGCACGAGUGUCCUCCCCUCUAAAAUUGAGGAAGACUUCAUAAAUGCAAGGAGAAGAAGCCAUGAAGGAAAUAUUAGAAAUUUGGUGACAGAAACAGAGAAUUAAUCUUGAGAGCUGAGAGAGGAGAUGUAAGAAUGAACAUGUGUGAAUAUUCUUGCGAGUACAUAGUAAAUAAUUGAAUGGCUCGAGCUUUCUUAGUUUCCUGGAAAUUUCCUGGAGCUUUCGUAUACAUGAUUUGUCAAGUCAAGAAACAUAGUCAUGAUAAUGGGGCAGACCAGGAAGAAAAGGAAAUUGGAAUUUUGUACAAUUUCUCCAGCGAGGAACUUUCACUGUCAUUACCUCACCGUUACAGUUUGGAUUAGGGUAAUUUUUACCCCGCACCCAAAUGUUUUGACAUACAGCACAACGCACCCAAUUCUUUUGCCCAUGAGCACCGCGCACCCAUUUCCGUUUAUUUUUCAGUUAACUGUAACAGAUCAGGGUAAAAUUGGAAUAACGCAUCAAAAUUUAAAAAUAAAAAAAUAGGUAAACUCGAUGUUUGCGCCAAAAUAAUUUCACAUCACUGUGCUUAUGUUCACUGCGUUUGCGUGUGAGACCAAGAAGCAUGGCCACACCUCCAUUGAUGCCAAAAUCGAGGAGGUGGGUGAAGAAGAAUUGGCGCCAAAAUCAUUCACAUAUGAUGUGCAAGGAAAUUAUUUCAGCCUUUAAAUACUUUUUUAUUACAGCAGCAUCAGCUAUUGCUCUGUUUCGAAGAUCUGCUCAAUUUCUAAGACAAUAGUUGGUUUGAGAGUUUAAGGGAAGUGAAUCCACUGAGCGUGCUAUUGAAGAAGUGGAGGUCAGUUUCAUUUCUUGCUCAAUUGUUUUAAUUUAUUCCAUUUUGUUUGCAUGUCAAUUAUUUACACAUUUUUAGCUGGAUUUUGCUUAUCUAUAAAACUUGAAUCAUUGUUAAUCAAAUCAGCUAUAAUUUACGCCUCAAUGUGGUUUGUAAGUUUAAGUUAUGUUGGAUUAUACCUGAAUAAUGUGGUGUUUGCGUUAUUGAUUUCAAUUUCUAUUGAUGAUUUUGAGUAUACAUAUUAGUGGAUGAAAGUUUUUAAUUAGGAUGAUUGGUCACGCAUAUAUGUCAUAGCAACUGUGUUUUUUUGGGUUAUGGUUGUACUGUAGAUCAGUAGUAGUAGUGAUUUGGAUAUAAACGCUAGUGCUUUUAUUGUAAAUGAUAGUGAUGAAGAUCCAGUGUUACAGAAUUUGAUGUAAAAGUUAUUGGUUUUUGGCUAAAUAUCUUAGAUAAAUAUGAUGCUCAUGCAAUCAAAUCCAAUGCUUAUGCAAUUUACACCAUGUUUAUGAUAAGUAAUUAAAAAAAUAAAUGACUAUUCCAGGUGAAAAUGGAUGAUGAUGAUAUUACAACUGUUCUUUGUACAUUCAAGGGCAAGACAUAUAAUGUUGGUGUAAUUGAUCCAGAUAAGUUUAGUAGAGUUUCUGUAAUUAACAAGGUUUUAGUUAGAGUCUAUGGAAGAAAGAUGAGGCCUGAUGAGAAGUUUACACUAAGUGUUUGGGUACCAUGGGUCUAUAAGGAAGUAGAGAUUAUGUCUGAUCAUGACUUAAUAUUCCAGCUGAGAGAGCAUAAUAAGAUGUUGUUCUACUGCAUGCAAUUGUAUAUUGAAGAAAUCCAUGUACCUCAUGAGUUUGUACCUAGAAGGGCUUUGUUUCAGCACUCAGCAGAAGAAAGCUUACAAGGGUAUGCUGAAACAAACUUUCCAGCCACUACUGACCUGCACAAACCUUAUACACAUGCUACAUCCACCAACACAAAUCCUUAUGAAAAUGACAGUAAUGACCAUUCGAACCAUGAACCCCCUGUCAAGAACUCCAGCAGCAUAAUGAUGCAUAAUGUUGCACUUGAUAGCAUCCAAUCACAGACCAAACCAGAUACCAACCCUGACCUAUAUCAAGACUUUUUGGAUACCUAUUUCAGAUCAUCACCACAACAGAAAACACCAUCAGCUGCCCAAACUAAUGCCGAAAAUAGUGAUAGUGAUAACACAUCUUCAUUUGGUACAAAUAAGACUCCUACUGAGCAGCUUCAACAAAACUUUGCCAUCUCUUCUGAGUUGUCCCCUUUAUUGCAGCAACAUGGACAUCAUGCAUCCCAAAAUGAACCUAUACCUUUUCACCAACCUGAGUUCUCAUCUCAACCAAUAACUCAAAACCCUCAGUCACAAGUUGUACAAGCAGAAAACUUCCAGCAACCAGAAGCCACUACACCAGCACUAGUAGAUUAUAACUCAGAUGAUAGCCAUUAUAGUGUAACUGAUAGUGAGGAAGAUCCAGAUCAUCCAUUAGGUGCUCCAAACAUUAAUAAUACUCCUAGGAAACCUUCUGUUAAUGUUGACUUAGGCUCUAUGCCUUCUGAUGAUAGUGAUGAAGAUUGUAUGCUAUCUGAUUGUGAGAGUGAUGACAAUGAGUUUGGGGAAGAAUCUGAUGAAGAGAUUGAUCAAGUGCUGGUCAGAAUGGAUGCUGUUAUGAGAGAGAACAUGUACAUUCCUAGUGAUACACCUGUUCAAUUCUUUAUUGGGCAGUGUUUUAGGAACUUCAGGCAGCUGGCAUGGGCAAUAAGGACUUAUGCUGUGGAAAACAAGUUCAAGGUUUAUAAGCACAAGUUUGAAAAAUCCAGAGUAACUGUUGGAUGUAAUUAUUUCAGGUGCCCAUGGUUUUUACAUGUUGCAAAAACUAGAUUUGGACAAACCUUUAUUGUUAGGAGGCUUCACAACGUACAUACAUGUCAGAGAGACUUAAAGAAUCCUGAAUGCACUGCAGAGUUCAUUGUUGCCAAGUUUGCUGCAACUAUAAUUGAGCAUCCAGAUACAAAGGUUGGGUGGAUUCAAAGUGAACUUAGAAGGAUGUAUGGAGCUAAGAUACACAAGUAUAAAAUUUAUAGAGCAAAGAAGAAGGUUUUACAGAGACAAUGAGCUGAUUAUGAGUCUAGUUACAUGUUGAUCAGAAAUUAUGCUCAGGCCAUACUUACUAAGAUGCCACAGGCCUUGGCAUUGGUUAAGGUUUUCAGGAUGCAUGGUCAACAACCUCAAACUCACUUUGACAGCACUGUUAUAUCUUUCCAUGCCCUCAGAGAUGGCUUCAACCAAGGUUGUAGACCCUUCAUUGGUAUUGAUGGAUGCCAUUUGAAGGGUCCAUAUAAGGGUGUUCUUUUAUCAGCAGUUGCUAUUGAUGCCAACAAUGGAAUCUUCCCACUUGCAUUUUGUGUAUGUAGUGUCGAGAGUACAACCAGCUGGACAUGGUUUCUAAGCCACUUUAGGGAAUUUUUACAAGAUACAAGACAACUGACCUUUAUGUGUGAUAGGCAGAAAGGAAUUCAGAAUGCUCUUGCCUUAGAGUUUCCUAAUGCACAUGUUAGAUUCUGUGCUAGACACAUCUUAGCAAAUAUUAAGUUAAAACAUCCUCAAUCUGACUUUAAAGCAUAUUUCUGGGCAGCAGCAAGAGCAUCAAACAGAAGGGCAUUUGAUGAUGCUAUGCAAAACAUAAGAGCAGCACAUGAGGGUGUAUAUGAGACUCUUAGGAGGAUACCACCAAAUUUCUGGUCAAGGCAUGCCUUUGACAAUAAUUGCAAGUCUGAUCAUUGCACUAACAACGUAACUGAAUCUUUUAAUGCAUGGAUUGGGAUUCAAAGAAAGUUGCCAAUAAUCUCAAUGCUGGAGUGGAUUAGGAAGAAGCUGAUGAAAAGAAUGAUUGGAAGAAGAAAUAAGGCAGAGUCUUGGGACAGUGAUAUACCAAGAAGAAUUUAUGCACAAAUGAUGAAGAAUUUACAGAUUGGCAGUGCAAACCCUAUCUGUAGAGCUAGUAAAUGGCUUUAUGAAGUGGAUGAAAAUACCAAGACUUAUAUCGUUGAUCUUGAACACCAUAUGUGUGACUGCGGACAAUGGCAAGUUAGUGGGAUUCCAUGUGUACAUGCAAUGCCUUGUAUUGUGAAUAGUCAAAAAGAUCAAGCUCAGUUCAUUAGCCAAUGGUUGAAGAAAGAUACUUACCUAAGGUGUUAUUCUGGAUUGAUUAAACCAAUUCCAGAUAGAACGUCAUGGGUAGAUGCUGGUGGUGAUGAAAUACUGCCCCCUUUAGUGAGAAGACCACCUGGACGACCUAAGAUGACAAGAAGAAGAGAAGCUGAUGAGGUACCAGCACAUAAUAAACGAUACAAGAUGCAAUGCACUAUUUGCAAGGGAUUUGGACACAACAGAAGGGGUUGUCCUGUUAACCCUCAUAAUGCUCACAAGACAACAAGACAAUAUAAGGUGAGUGUGUAUGCUUGUAAGAGAAUAUUCAAUUAUUUUUUGAACCAUGUUCCUCCCAUGUGAUGACAGCUAAUGUGCCUUGUUUGUUUGUGCUUUUUUAUAGAAUAACCUGAAGAAGCACGUGACAAGGACAAAUGGGGAGCAAAGUGAAGGUAUAAGAGUAAUUUACUAAGUUAUAUUACUAUAUUACUUUACAGCUGUAUUAGAUAAUUAUAUAGUUGUGUAUCACCAAACUAUAUUAAAUUAACUUAUUUAUUUAACGUUGCUUUAUUGGUAAUUUAUAAGGCCAAGUUCACGGAAUUACCUCAACUAUUUUGGAAAGCCAAGACAAUGACAUGGUCCAAGUAACUGUCUCAGGCCAAAACAUAACAAAGAACCAGCAGACUGCAUCUAACAAACGCAAGAUUGGCAAUCAAGCAGGGCCAUCAAAAGCAAAUGAAGUCAUUGGCAAGAGCAUGAAUGGGGUCAUAUCUGUAGCUCCAUGGGUAGGUGAACAGGGAAGAAAAGUAAUGUCAGCCGCUGGAUUAACCUUCAGCAAAGAGGAUGAAGUCGGCAACUAUACUGAAAUGAAGCAUUUGGACAAAGGGAAGGCACCAGCCUUCCCUUCGUAAAGGGUAAAACCAUAGUUUUCUAUUGAUAUAAAUUAAUAUUGGUUUUGGAAAUGAUAUUUAUAAUUUGUAACUUGUUUUGUAGUGAUUCUUUGGCUAUGAUGGAGACAUUGGCAGCAAACUUAUUAACAAACAGUGGAGGCAACAUUAUCAUUUUUUGACACCUUCCACAAUGCCACAUCAACCCACCAGGCACAAGGUUAAGGUUAUCUGGAUGCUGAUUUCAUUAGGAUCAAGUGGCCAAGUAAUGACCAGGCAUGUCAUUGUUUUCUUUUUCUUUUUUAUUUUGGAGCUGAAAUUGGUGGAAGUUGUUGGACAUUAAGCUUAAGCAUUAUAGAGCUGGAAGCUGUGAUGACCUACUAUAAGUAUGAUUGGAAGGGUUUAUGGCAUUUUGAAAGUUUUUGGGAUUAAGAUACAUAUAGGACUGAUAUCAACCAAACCAACACUUUUUUUUUUUGUUUUUUGGUCACAUGUAUGUAAACACCAGAUUGGAUGUGACUAACAUUGUAAGUUGCUGCCAAUAUGCAUUUAUAGAUAAAAUAACUUAUUGCUAUUAUUGAUAUCAUAUUUGAUUAAAUGGUAUAUGUCAAGAAACGAAUGCAUUUUAUUGAUCAUAAGAUUUCAUUUUACACAUUGUUCUAGCAUUCCUUACAGUACAAUACAAGCAAUACAAGUAUAGUUAUCACUAUAAUCGUGAUUUGAUACUUCUUAUUUUUAUGAAGUAAACCUUCAAUAUUGAUGAACCUGUUGUGGAAGUCCUCAAUGUUAAAUUGUUGAAUCUCACUUGCCCUGUCUGCAGCUUCUUCUUCAAACCUUUGUAACGCUGCUUCAAUUUCUAUAGCCUCACCUGUAGAUGGUUUCCACCAUCUAAAGAAACCACAAGAUGGGUCAUUAGGGCAUGUGUAAUAUAGUUUGUUGGGGUUUGUUUUUGAUUCUGACACUUUGAUUUCUGCCCUUCUUCGACAGUAGCAUACUGUGUUAUAGAACUUGAUGAUGCCCCCAUUGAUUUUAGGUAAAUCCCUUCUUCUGUUAUAAGUUGAUGAACUUGAUGCAUUCCUUGAAGUGGACAUUUUCUUCAAAUUUCCAAUGUCGUGUCUGUUAUAUUCUUUUUGAAAUACAGCACAACGUAUCUGAACUUCAAGUUGUUGUGCUUGUUUUGUGUGUGAAUGAAGCUGCUGUUGAAGUUGUAUUGUUUCGGUGGGUAAAACCAAAUGUUGUACUACUGUAAGUUGUUGCUGAGUAAAAAAAAUGGUGGAGUUUCCAGGUGAGUCAAUGAAAAUCACUGAGGUGUGAAGAGGGUAGGAAUUUAUAUGUGUUAAACAUCACAGCUUGUGGUGAUGCAUCAGCUCAAAUUUAUCAAUUUCUUUUACUGUUCUUGUAACCAUAUAGCCGUUAUUACUGUUGCUCAGAUUUUAUAGCCGUUGGAUUUUUGAUGCGCAUGGUAAUAAACCAAUAUGCUAAGGGCAAUAUAGUCAAUAUAAUUUAACAGUUAUAGUUGGUCUUCGUGUGUAAAUACACCUUUAAAUAAUGGCCAGUGGUAAAUUCCUUAGUUCAAUGACUCACCUGGAUGCAUUUGAAUUCAACGCAAGGGUAUAUUUGUCAUUUAAUCAAAAUAUAGACUGAUCCGUUACAAUUAACUAAAAAAUAAACAGAAAUGGGUGCGCGGUGCUCAUAGGCAAAAGAAUUGGGUGCGUUGUGCUGUAUGUCAAAACAUUUGGGUGCGGGGUAAAAAUUACCCUUUGGAUUAUGAUUUGAGGGUGCAAGUAUUUACCUAGAGUUUACCUCCGCACUAAAUUCUUAAGUUUUGAAAAUUAUGAGACCUUUAUAUUGGGAGAUAUUGUAAUCGAAUCAAAACUUAAAUUUUUUAUAAUGUUAAUAUUUAAUCUUUUAAAAAACAAUAACCUCGCCGUUACAGUUUGGAUUAAGAUUUGAGUAAGUAUUUACCUAAAUUUUACCUCCGUCUGUAAAUUCUUAAGUUUUGAAAAUUAUGAGACCUUUAUAAUCGAAUCAAAAUUUUGAAUUUCAAUAUUAUUAUUCUUUAAAAAAAAUUUUGAGAUAACAGAGUGAUUGAUAAUAUAGGAGAACUUGUCUAGGCAAGCACAUGUAUACACAGAAACGUGAUGGAUUCAAAAAGAAAUUAAAGUGAUAAUGCGAAAUCGCUUGGUGGCCCAGUAAAAUUACGACUGAAUUUUUUUUUUUUUUUUUACAAAAUUCAAGCUCAUAAAUGACAAAUUUCAUUUCCCUUUCACACGUCAUUAACUUUUGUAACAUGGUGUGUGCAUCGUCAAGUGAGGCAAAAGGGUUUCAAUUACAGUUGGAAAACAUGAACAAGAAUGCAUAAUGAAUAAUUCCUUCGAUAAACCGAAAAUUAAGCACAGAAUAAUCCUAAAAUUUAAACUCUAAUAUCUUAUAAUGUAUUGAUUAAAAAUAAUCCUAAGAGCUCCCAAUUGAAACUUUCAUAAGUAUUUUAAUUGUUUUGGAUAAACAAAUUGCACUAGGAUAAAAAUUUGGCAAAUUCAGAGGAUAAUGGAAAAUAGUUAUGCUUCAAUAGGCCAAAGAUUAGAGAACAAAUAAGAAUUAUUUAUUGAUAUACAAAAGAGAAACACUCCAAAAUUUCAAGCAAAAAUAGUUUCAUAUAUCAUUUCGAUUUUGAAAGGGAUGAGAUUUUGAACUUCAAUAGUUUCCUCUAAAAUUAAAAGGUAGCAAUUAAGCUAAAAAGAGCAAUGAAGACUUAUUGGUACCUUAUUAAAGGUAAACAUUAUGGAACUUUCAAUGUCAUUAUCUCACUGUUCAAUUUUUAUUGAGAUUUGUGUAAGCAUUUACCUAAAUCUUACCUCCGCCUUUAAAUUCAUAAGUUUUGAUUAAUUAUGAGACCUUAUAUUGGGAGAUAUUAUAAUCAAACUAAAACUUAAAAUUUCAAUAUCAUUAUUCUUUAAAAAGAAAUUGAGAUAUCAGAGUAAUAUCACAUAGAAAAACUUGCCCACGGACGGUAAGCCAAAAGUCUAGUCAACCACACGCAUAAAGCUAACUAGAACAAGAGAACAGAGAAACGCGUGGGUCCCUAAAAGAAAAGGCAAGCACAUAAAUAACUUUCAAAAUGCCCAAGCAAAUACCGAUGAAAAUCACUGUUUAAGAAUAAUUUAUUAUGUGGUUGAAGCUUUCUUUUUAUCAAUCUUCUUUCUACCCAUUAAUUUUCCCACGACUUUCCCGUUUCAUUUCUUGAAUCUCCAUGGAUUAACUUUCAAUAAACCAUAAAAUAAACUAAGGAAUCAUUUUCUCGAAUACAGCUAUGAUUUUAAUAAAUGGGCGGACCAUCUAGAAUAGUAUAUAUAAUUCUGUUUAAUUAAUAAGUUGAAAAAACCAUCAAGAGAAAUUCUAAUAUUAUGAGCUUGACACGAAUUCUUCACUAAUUCCAAAACAAGGAGCUGUUUUAUAAGAACUGUGGUUGGAUUAUUAAGUUUUACAAUUUGAAUAUAAAUAAGAAAAUAAAAUCAGUCGCGUUGAUGUUUUCGAUACAUUUCGCUGCUAACUUUUUUUUUUUUUUUAUUACAUGAGACUAUUGCUCAAAUUACAACUCAUAUUACAUGAGAAUAUAACUGAUAUUUACAAAUCAGACUAUAACUGGGACCAAUAUACAUCAAUACUAAUGGAGCGCUGCCCAGAUUUUAACCCUCUCAAAUAUUCAAGGGAUGUCUACACCUCACACUUGGGUAAGGAAACAGACUGUCUUCACUUAAAUUUACUUGAGGAAUGAAGACCCCCACAAUACAUUGUGGGGGUUCACCACUCGACCAAAGGCCGAGUGGCUCAUUUCGCUGCUAACUUAAUUAAUUACUUUACUUCAACUUUAUUUCCUUAGGGGCACUUUAUGGUGGGUCCAAGAUGGGACCUACAAUAAUCAAUCCUAAAAUUUAGUAUGGUUACCAAAUAGCUAGUAGCUAGUGUUAUUUUGUGUUUGGUGGAAGAGAUUGAAUAUUUAGUUUUAACUUAACCAUUCAACUAAUUAGAAAAUAAAUAAAAUUAAAUGAAAUGUUUAGAUAUCAAUUUAAAUAUUAAUAUCGGGGAUAUAAAUUAGUUAUAAUAUAGUUCAUUACAUAAAAUUGAUUAAAUUAAUAAUUACCCGUGAACAUAGAUGUAUAUGCUUUCCAAUUUCCAAAGUGCUCAAAGCACUUUUCUCACCAAACUUUCCUCUGAAUUUCCCGUAGCUGACUCCUUUGUUUGCGUUUUGUGAAAUUUCUAGGAACUUUUUUCGAUUUAGAAUAUUGUACAUUUUUCUUUUCAGCUGAGAUUAAUUUAACUUAUAGAAAAUCUUAUCCUUUUUUAAUAUUAUUUAAAUAAAAUUUGUCUAUCUUUUAUUUUAUUAGUCUACUUUUUACCCAUUAAUUAAGACUUUUCAAUUUCUUUUUUACCUGAGGUUUUCAGUGACUAUCUUUCAAUAAACCAUAAAAAUUACUUAGUCAUUUAUCGAACAAUUAGAUGACCAUAUUUCAAAAUAUCAACUAGAAGUUGUCCUGAAAUAUUUAAUUAAUAGUUGAAGAAUUGUGAUUAGUGUGGGCAUCUACAUAAAAAUUAUAUUAAAACACCGCUAAAAGAUAAAAAUAAAAUAAAAUAGUACAAACAUACACCCAUAGGUUAAAACAAAGAAAAAACACGAACCAAUACACUAAAAUGUUUUAGCUGUAGUUAGUUUUCAGUUUCAUUACUUAAGUCCCACGUGCAUGUCACGUGACUGAGGUCAAAAAAUGAUUGUCACAUUAAAGUUCAAAAUACGGAGCAGGGUAAUUAAGGAGUGGAGCUAUUGGCACCCCUCCAUUAUUCUUACAAAACUCCACUUUAAAUCAAAAUAUAAUUAAGAAUAAUUGAAAAUUAAACACUUAUAGAUUUCUUUACAACAUGUUGAGUGAUAAAAAAGCACCAGUCGGGCAUGUCCCCAUUUCUUACCCGGUGCCGAAUCUCCACGGUCGAAUGGUAUGAGUAGACUCUUGGUGAUGUCUUCUAUGUGGAGCACGUAACAACAGACCAGGAACUAGUACCAACCAAAAACGAGUACUGAUCGAAACAAGCAUGACCAGAAACGCAUACCGACCAGAGACUUGUGGGUCCGUAAAAGAAAAGGCAAGCACACAAAUGAAAAAGCCAUUACAUUUCUAUUUUACAUGUCAUUCCUAAUUUUUGUAACACGAUGUGGCAGCAUAUGCACAAUCAAAUGAGGCAAAAGGGAUUCGACUAUCGUGGCAGAACAUGGACGAGGACGCGUGAUGAAUAAUUCCUUCGAUAAAACGAAAAACAAACGCAGAGAAAAGAAUUUCUUAUAUGACAAGAAAUUAAAGUAAUGUGACGGAACAUGAUGAAGAAAUUGCAGAUCGAUCAAUUAUCCCCAUGGACUCCUAUAAAUUCAACCAAAAUAACAAUUCCAAUAUUACCAAAUUCUUGAGUUAAAUUUAUUCAAUGCUUUUUUUUAAGAGAAAUUUUUUCCAAUGCUACUUUCCCUUUUUUGGGGAAAUUAGAACUGCGGCAUGUAUAGAAGACAUUGAGGUAUAAAGCAACAUUAAUUUCAUGGGUUAUGCGUUAUACGCAUAAUAUAUUUUCAGUCCAAAUUCAACUAUGCAAAGAGGCUUGAGAACUUAAAAUUAAGCACAAACUAAACAGACGAAGUAAAUACAUGAUUAUGCAACAUAACAUUAAUUCUCUUAAUUUAUAACCGUUUUGCCACAUGAAUCUUGCACAGUUAAUCCUAAUUGAAGACUAAAAAAGAACAAUUGGAACAAGGUUUUGAAAUAGAAUGAUAGACAAUCGAUAUGAUCCAUUUCCAGUCGUCAACGCUAAUUAACUGCAGUUUCUAGACUCCUAAUUAUACUAGCCAUAAGAAACUGUUUAGAAAACUGGUGAUCAGAUUAGAUUUUGAAAUGAAAUAAUGUUCAUUUUCCCUUCGUUACCCUUUUAUUUAUUUAUUAUUUUUAUACCAAAGAAUUCUAUCAUGAAACGAAUCAAUUUAAUCACCUUUUCCAGCAGCACAAUUUUUCUUUUAUAAAAUUUGACCACAGAGACAAAGAAGAAUUAUUCAUACCUUCAUCAGUAAGGAAAUACUUUUCGGUAUGGCUAGGGUGAGAAAAGGCUUUCCACAAACACUUGUACUUUGUAUUCCUGUAAAUUUUCUUUAAAGUCAAUAAAAAUCAUAAGUUCUUUACAAUAACCAUCUCUUUGAUAAAAAAAGUGCCGUAUUCCUUUAGAAUUUAAAACCGGCAAAAUCGAAUCAGUGUCUUUGAAGAGACAUAAUGGUCAUAAUUCUUUAAAGAGUUGGCUAUGGAAAUCCUUAUCCAAGAUUCUUUUACGCCAUAUUCUUUCGUAAACCAAAAUUCAUUUUGGAAUACUCUGUUGAGAAUGUCAAAUAAAACGGUAUUGAAGGAAGUUUUCAAAGGCAGAAUCCGCACUUGUCAAAGGGAUGAUCUGCAUUUGUCAGAGACACAAUCUGCGUCGAAUGAAUCGACACAUUUCCUUUUGUAUUCGCAUAUGUAAUUUUUGAAAAAAUGUAGCUUCUGCAUCUAUAAAUAACGCUCAGUGUAUAAUGUUUUAUUCAAAAAAAGAAAACAAGUUUCUUCAUACUCGUCGUCCGAACAUACAGAGACCGUCUCUCAUAACUUCAGCCGAAUACUUAUGAUGAUGAUCAUUUGUGAUUUCAUCAGGCAUAGGGUUGAUGGUGAAAAAUUUUGUAUGUGUGAAGAAUUGAGCUGUGGAUAUAGGGGACUUAAGUGUAAUCGAAAGAGAGUUAUUAGGCCAUAGUGUAGAUUGCAUUCAGUUUAUGAGUCGAUAUGCAAAUAAUUUGUUGACGUGGCGAAAUUUGUUAUGGUCGUUACUAUUGUUUCUGGAAAUUUUCUAGAAACCUCAGCAUAAAAGGGGCUUUUGGAUAGCCUCUGGUGUGCGUGUGAUUUCUCUUUCGUUUCCUCAUCAAAUUCUGUAAUUCUUGCUUUGAUAAAAAGCUUGUAAUCUCUUCUGUAAUUGUGAUCAGUGCGUAAUCAUUUUGAGCGAUAAAAGCUUGUAGGUUUUUCCUUCAAACAAUGUCGUUUUGGUCAGUUUGUUAGUUUGAUCUGUUGGUGGAAUUUUCUUUGGUUAUUUGUUCUCAAAUUUCAACCUUAUAUAAAGUUUGAACUCUAAUGGCUUAUAAUGUAUUGAUUAAGAAUAAUCCUAAGAGUUUCCGAUUGAAAUUUUUAAUGACUAUUUUUAUUGUUUUGGAUGCACAAAUUGCAUUAAGAAAAAAUAUUGUCAAAUUCAGAGGAUAACGGGAAAUAAUUAUGCUUCAAAAGGCCAGAGAUUAGAGAAUAAAGAAGCAUUCAUUACUGAUAUAAAAACUGCUUCUAUUUGGAUUUUGAAAGGGGUGAAGUUUUGAACUUCAGUUGUUCCUCUAAAAUCAAAAGCAAUAAUUAAGCAUUCUCAAUUAGAAAGAGCAAAGAAGACUUAUUGGUACCUUACUGAAGCUAACAUUAUGGCACGGUUGUUCAUAUGUAAUGGCUGCUCUGUUAUGCUAGCUUCUCUGUUUUUGCUUCUAUUUUUGCUUACAGUUUUGAAGAUAAAUUCUUGCUCAAAUAACACAUAAUUAAAUAACACUAAUAUGGCUCAUGAAAUCCUAUAAUAGCUAAUUACGCAACUUUCUCCUCCUCCUCAAUUCUGUCUUCCCCUGCUCGGACACUAACUUCAAAAUUCAAUGCCCCGAAAAACAACACAAGAAAUCUUUGAGUUAGUUCGUGACCAGUUUAUAUAUAGUAGCAAUUGAAAAAAGAAAAAGAAGAAAAGAGUUAAUUAUUUUUCAGACCUUCACUUAUUAGGAAGUUUGUUCUGCUAUUGGGUGAGAUCAAGCUCUCAGCAUAUACUUCCACAUGAUACUUUCUAACAUUUUCUUGAAAGCCAUCAAUCAUUAAAUCUUCAUACUUUUUUCCAUCCUUUGGAUCAAUAAGUACAAAUUUCUCAUCUAAAAAAGACAAAAUAAAAUCACUGUCCUUCAUGGAAUCAGAAUUGAGCUUACAAAAACCGAAGUGGACAGUUCCAUUCAGAUUGGUCGCCCGAGAACAAUGAUGAGAAGACUUAAAAUCAGUUUCAAAGGUUUUCCAAGUAUUGUUCCUCUAAACCACUUGUAUAUUUUACCAGAACUCUUGGUUAAGAAAAUCCUAGUCCAUGGAGUAUGAUAUAUCAAUCAUGCAACAAUGACCUACAACAUCUAUGUGGAUUGAUUUUUGCAAAAUAAAGAACAAUGCUGACUGAGGAAUAAGGUGCAUACCCGAUUAGCAAUAUCUCAGCAAGUAACCAACAAUUUUUUAUCUGAUAAGAAAAAAUUACAAUUUCUUGAAUAUACAUGAAACAUUUUGCAGAAAGAACCAUGUCAUAAUUAUUAGUCCAACUGAAGAAUUAUCAAUACUUAUCACAUGAAACGAAAGAUACCCGAGUUCACUUAAUGAAAUUCUCUUUUUUUUUUCUCUAACAUUGAGAUAAGCAAAAACUUUUAACUAAAGACAAUCAUCUAGUGAUCUCAAACAAAUGAGGUUAGUAUGAAACCAUCAUAAUUUGUUCGCUCAUUGCCUAAUUUUAUUAAUGCAAGAGCCUGGAAGCAACUCAAAAAGAAAAUAACCGACAUAGGAAGUGUCAUCUCAUAUCUCACCAAUGAAUGGGAACAGCUUGAUGUGGCUGAGCAAACUGGCAGAAUUGUCAUUUUAACACACGUUCAAGAAACUCAGCAAAUUCUCAUAUCUGUUUAAAUUCCACAGCAAAGAUAGUUACAAGAAAUCUAAUCAAAAUUUAAAAUGUCAGAAGGCAAAUCUUCCAAUUAGGAUCAAAAGAAGAUAAUUAUAAUUUGUCAUUUCAAUUCUGAAUGUACAAUUUUAUUUUUUUAUGUGUGCAUUAAUUAAGAUUCUACCUUCUCUGCAAAAUUGUGAUGGACUUGGUAAAUAAUGAAUUGUAUCGACUUGAAUUUUAUACAACUUAUUGAGAUAAUAAUACGCCAAAUUCAACACCGUCCAUCCCAAAUCACAACAAGAAACUCAAACUUUUAUCCCCUCAAGUGGGUUCUUGAAACUGAAGCUUUAGUGCCAGUACAAUUUUGAAAGAUUGUGAUCAAACUAAAACAUCAAAUAAAAUAAGACGUAACAAAAACACGUCUUCAGAAAAUUAGUAUAGGAAUAAGAUAAGCUACACAGACCUACUUCAAUGAAUUAGAAAAAUUAUGAUAAACUUGAUGCAUUUCGAAAAACAACAAACAAAUAUUCCCAGGAAAACAAAAAAAAGACAACUUUGUUUAAGCUUAGACAAAAAUAACUAAGGACAUAUGAAUGCAUCAUAAUAGUAUCUCUAUGGGUAAUUUUCAGAAAUCUCCCCUAAGGUAUGGUGUAUUCUUAGUUUGAUAGAAAAUAUCUAAGUAUUCUUAUAGACCUCCCCUACUGUUAGUAUUCCAUUUCGUAUAUGUUAGGUAGAUGAGGGUAAGAUCGUAAUUUGAAUAAGUUAAUGAUAAAAAAUCCAGAAAUUUUAAGAUUUUCACAUUGGCCUCUGGGCUUUAUUCAUCUCUUUCAUCCACCAAAACCAGAAAUACAACUCACCUCUCUCCUCCACCUAAAUCGAAGCAAGGUAGCUCAAAACUCAUUUCAAAAAAUUGAUCAAUUACUUGGGUCACAAACUAGAGACAAUGACGACGAAGUUGAUGACGCCAAUAUCGACGACGAAGCUGAUGACGCCAAUAUCGACGACGAAUGAUUCGCAACUGCCAGGUAAGAGAGUAUAGUAGGUUUCGCCAUCGAACGCCCAAUCAUCCAGUUGUUUUGGAGCCGCGUUAUUUUUAUUAGCUAAAAUUAGAAUUUUUAGUGAAAAAUUGAAAGUGGGUCUCAAAAUUUUUUGAGAGCGUAUAUGUUUCUCCUGAUUUUUCGAUCGAUUCGUGUUAGUUGCAGUUAAAUGAUUAAUCCAAUUCGUGUUGAAGAUAGAGCUAACUCGAAUAUCUCUAUAGUCCUGUAAUUGAUUGAAAAUGGGUCUUGAAAAUUGUUUUAGAUUUCAGCUGUGUGCUUCUGAUUUUUUCCAUGGAUUCAUGAUAGAUGAAAAUGGUUGAUGAAGAUUUGCUUGACAUGUAUAUAGAUGGUAUUUUGUUAAAGGGGUUUUAAUUUUUUCCUUUUUUGGUGGUUUCGAUUGUGGUAUUUACAUGCCUUAGGUUGAGAAAAACGAAAAUGGUUUGUUGCACUCUUUUGUGUUGGAUCAGUGAGUUUAGGCGAUUUGAAAUGGUUUGCGGCAUUCAAUUGAUUGUUUUAUUUAUGUGGUUUGAUAUGGGAAAAGUAUAAUAAAAUUCAAUUGUUCCAUAUGUCAAUUUGGAUGUUUUGAAAUUAUGAACUACAAAAAGUUAAAAUUAAUUUCUUAUUAUAUUUUCAAUUGAAAGUUACUAUUGUCUUCUUUUUAGUACUUAGUAUGCAUUUUUCCCCAUCUUCUAGUGGUGGUGUUGCACCCAUUUUGAAUUUGAUCGGCAUCUUCUUCUGUACAUGCAUGUUUCUUGGACUCCAAUUUUUGUUUCAUAUGAUGAAGCUAAUUUAAUUCCUCCUUUUUAAUAUCAACUUUGUUCAUCUAGGUUUGCGAUUUUGAUCUUUCUCAUUUGAAGGCAAACACAUUUAUGUCAUCAAAAUUUCCAAUAUUUUUUAUUUUAUAGUAUCCAAACUGCUUAUGGCAAUAUGAAAUUGAGAAUAUUUCUUUCAUCAUGUUAACCUAAGUGGAUGGUGGAUGAUGUUUGUGUAAGAGAUUUAAGUUAUUUGUAUUAUAGAAUAUGUCUUAUGUUUUGAUUUGCAAUUUCACCAUUAAAUUGGCUUUGUAAAUGAUUAGAAGCUAAAUGCAUAAAAUGAAAACAAUAGUAACAUUUCUGAGUGGGGUAUAAUCAGAUGCUAACAUGGCGAUCCAUGACUUGUAAUUUCUAUUGUCGUUAUAAUUGGACUAGAUCGAGGUAAACUGACUUUUCUUGUUCUGUUUUUUUUUUCAUUUCUUUGUUCUAGAUUUUUCUUUCUUUGUUUUACUUCUGGUUUCUUCUUCAGCAUAUUCAAUAACUAGCAUGAGCAAAUGGAGAGGAAAAGGGUAGAAUAUGCUUUUAAAAAAAAAGAAAAGAAAAAAAGAGAUAGCUCUAAUUCAAAAAUAAGGAGGAGAAAAGGGCAAUGAUUGAAGUUGUGGAGAAGAAAUUCUUAAUGCAUAGGAGAUGACAACAAAGUGUUGCAACUGGGAGCAGUUUUAAAGUGCUAUUCGAUUGCUUUUGUAAUCAAAUUGUCUUUUGUACCUAUUUAUACACACACAUAUUUGUAUUUGUAAUUUGAAUUUUACAUUUUCUCAAGACAACUAUGUUUAUUUUAAAAAAAAUCUAAAUGUAACUAAAAUAUUAAAGUUUUUGUACUUAUUACUCCAUUUGAUGAUUUUUUUUAUUUUUUUGCUGACGAAUAUUCCAUGUCAAUUUUUUUCCCUUCAGCUCGUUUAAGGUGUUUUAUUGUCUGAUGUGAUAUUUGGUGCUCGGGAGGAAGGGUGUUUUAAGUCUUUUUUGGUGUCAGGGGCAAUUUUGUCUUUACAUCAGUCAACAAAUAGUCAAUGGAUGGAAAUGCAAACAGCAGGGGAGGUGUCUGAUAAUACACGGAUACUUUCUAUCAAACUUAUAAUACACAAAAUCUCAGGGGAGGUUUUUGAAAAUUACCCAACUGUGCAAAAUUAUGAAAAAAAUGAGCUAAACAUAUAUAGCAUUUCAGAGGAGUGCUUACUUGACAAAUCACUAAUACAAAGCUGCGAAUGGGCAUUCGGAAUGUUUUGAGAGACUCGUAUGGAUAAAAUAUGUAGUUAUUUAAGUAAUGACAGAAGGAGAAUCGUGUGGCUUGUCAAAGCCGUUAGCUCCAUCUCAUUUGCCUCGUCCUCUCGUUUUGUUUCUGUGGGGACAUAUUUGAUAUUUUGGAUUUUGUCUAAAAUUCGUCAUGUUUUUGGAUACUAACAUCUGCGCCUCUAGACCAAUAGCCAUUUGAUUAAGUGGGAGAACCCUUACACUAGUGUAAGAAUUUGAACUUUUAUAAAAUUAUUUAUGAGAUUAUUUAUAAUUUUUUUUAAUUAUCAAAUAAUUGAGUAGAGUCAGUUUAAUCCUUACGAAAUAUUUACUAUUCAUAAAUAUCUUUUUUUUUCUCUAUCUUACAAUUGAAUAUUCUCUCUCUACUCCAACAUUAUGUAACCUAAAUAUUUAAUUUCACUCUUUUUUAAUUUAUUUUUUUGUCUUUUCUUAGUAUAUUAUAAUCUUUAUUUCAUGUUUUCUAUAUAUAAGAAUUUUUUUAUAUCUAUUAAAUUUUGUGUUUAGUGAAAAUUAAUUUCUUGAUAUUUUUAAUUUUUAUAAUUGAUAAAAAUAUAUCAAUGUUCAUUUUUAAAUGAUGGGUUUUGUUCAUUUUAGUUUGUUAUAUUAAUUUUUUGUAGGUAAAAGAAUAUAUUUGAAUGAAUUGAAGGAAAAUUGUGAAAUUGAGAAGAGAAAGAGAAGAAAAAGUUAAUUAAAUAAUUUUUUCAAAAAUUAUUUAAAUAAUAAAAUUCUUAAUUAAAAACAAAGAUGGAGAGAGAAAUUUAGUGGGUUCAAAAUACUUAUUUUAAAUCCAAAAAAGAACCAAUAAAAGAAAUCAAAAGAUGAUUCUUUUCUUUCUGACAUAUUUCUCUGUACUUUUCUCUCUCUACUGAUUCACAAUUUUUCAUACUUCUAACUAUCAUUUUAUUCAAGUAUUUUGUAUUUUUAAUGACAAUUAUUUAAUUUUUAGUUAGUUUUGAUAUUGAUUAGAGAUUUAAAGUGUAUUUUAGAAGACUUCCGGUCUCUUGAAAAAAGGAAAAAUGGAGAAGAAGAAGUGUUCUUGAUUUUUUGUAGGCGUUAAAGUUAAAUGGUUUGAAAUGAUAUUCUUUUUUAAUUUCACUCAUUAAUCUCAUUCAAGAUAAAAUUAUAAAUGCAAAUAAAUGGGGUUUCAUAAGUAUUUUUAAUAGUGUUAAAAGGUCUACUCACUAAAUAAACAUGUUUAACCCAAACCAAUGCGAUUAGUAAGUUAUUGGGUUGGGUUAAUCAGGUUAAAAAUCAAAAUUAAAAAUUAAAUAAAUAAAAAAGGUAUAAAAACUAUCUGUUACUUGAAAAUAAAAAGAAUUUCUAAUUGUUAGUUCUAAUGUCCCAUAUCCAAAACAUGCAUAUUAAAUAAAUAUUAUAAGUUAGAAAUACAAUAUCCAAGAAAGAAUGAAUGAAAUACCAUAUUUUUGUUGAGAAUUAAGAGUGUGAUUUUAAUUUUGAUAUUGGAGUCUAAAGUGCCACGUUUAAAUAUUCUCUUUUAUAAAAUAAUAAAAAGAGGUUAAAAAUUAGGUUAGCAAUUUAGCCAUUUAGGGUUUAGCAAUUAAGGAUGAACAUAUUAUUGUUGUUGUUGUUAUUAUUAUUAUUAUUUAUAUGUUUACUAAUCCAAUCCAAUCCAAUUAUUAACGAAUUUGAAAAAAUUGAUUCAAUCAAGCCAUAAUAAUUCAUUCAACUCGUCUAAAUUGGAUUAGGUUGAAUUUGGUUUGCCACCCUUGUUUUGAGCAACAAACCUCAAUGUGAUUCCAUGAGCUCUUUGAUUGUUUAUAAAAUUGUUUAUGAAAGUGCAAAAUAAAUUAUUGUAUACAUUAAAAUGUGCAAAACAAUGAAUUAUAUGUACGAACGAGUGCAAACACAUUUUUCAAUAAGAAGUUAAAAGAUAUUUAUGCAUGAAAAAGCCUACGUUUGUAGUUAUUCUAAAUUUUAAAAACAAAAUUUACAUUUAGAUCCCUAAAAUUUACGUAUAAGUACAAAAGUUUCAAAUAUUGUCUAUUAUUUUUUUAACAUGCCUAUUCCUUGUGGAUAAUUCUAUCUCAUCACUAAUGUUGUUUCUUGCUUACAAUUUGUAUAGUGUCUCAAAAUAGACAAUAGGGGGAUUUUGAAUUUUUUAAGUCUCAAUAUAGUCUCUAAUCUUGUGAGAAAGAUUUUCUUUCAAUAAUUUGGAGGUAAACAUAACAUAACUUUUUGGACUAAAGCCUAACUCUGCUGGUUAUGGUGGUAUCCUUUUCAAGACCUGCGUCUUUAGAUUCGAGUUUUAUAGUGUGCAUGCGUAUUUAAUUAAUAAUUUUUUAAAACAAUACAUCAAAUAUUAAUAUCCAUGACAUAAUUUAGUUCUUAAUUUUUUUUUUAAAUACAUCAAAAACAUAAUUUUUUUAACAACUUAUAGGCAUGACAAAUUUCAAGAUAUAAAUAUCAGUCAAAAUAAGUGAAAGAAAUAAUGGUGCCAAUUCUAAUUUCUUAACUAAAUUAAUUAGUGCAUGAGCCCCGAAUACGACACGAGAGUUUGAUGGGCUAACAUGGCACAAGAACCUGAAUAAAUAAUUGAUUUAAGAAAUAAUUCAAUGAAAAAUAUAAUUGAUAAGAAUUCAGUAUUGAAAUGAGUUUUUUAUGAAACACUGAAUUAAUGAUUAUUAAGCAAGAACAAUAAAAAAUAAAUAUUAAUCAUUGAUAAGUUUCAACAAAAGCUUAACACAAUCCUCAAUCCUAAUUCAAAUUAUAAAUGUCAUUCAUAUAUUCAUUAUAAUCAACAACAAAGGUUAUAAAUGUUUAGAAAUUCUAGAGGGAAGGAAGCUAUCGCUGGGCAAUCAACAACUAAAUUUGAUGUAAUUGUGGCACGAGAUGGAAUAUGGAAACUACACCAUAAUUUCAAAUGCCGCCAUAGACAUUGACUUAUCUACAAUAACAAUGAUCUAAUUAAAAUAAAAAUAGAGUUUAUGGGCAUUUAUUAAAAUAAAAAUAGGAGUGAAGUAAAAACAUUUAGAUUUUAAUGUAUGUACGGAAAAAUUUAUCUUUAAAAAUACUUUCUUAAUGUGUGUGUGCAUAUUGAAAUACUCAAACCAAUUUUGGUUAUAUAUAAUUCAACAAAAUUUAAAAUAUGAAAAAUAUAAUGUAGUUAUAGUGGAUAAGCAAUAAGUGAGCACAAUAUAAUUAAUCAAAUACUAUGCUAUCAAAAGUUAAUUUUAGAAAUUCCAAAUCCAAUAGCUAACACAAUUCUUUAAAGAAAUAACAAGGGGCAUUGGGCAAGAGUAAUGAAUGCUUAGUGGGUGCAUUUGAUUGAUAGAUAUAUAAAGGGCCGAAACUUGAUAUUAUAUUACUUUUACAAAAUUUAAUCCAAUCACAUAUUUAAUGAAAACAAAAUGAGUUAGGAUUGUUUAUUUAGAACCCACAUUUUAAUAAGGCUUCAUUUGAUGUAGUUUUUCAAACAUUGAUUAUUUGAGUAAUUACAAAGUACAAUACGUACCAAGUUUGGUAACUUAAUUGACAUCUUCUCAUAUAACCUUCGAUCAAGUCGAUUCUGACCUGACGACUAAUUGGUACAUCACCGUUGUUCUCUAUACUCGCAUGCAUCCGAUCACAAAUCUCACUCCAAUUGUCGUCUUUCUUCGGCGUUUUAGCGCAUCCUUCUUGAAUUUCCCGCAUUUCGUUCCCUCCUGUUACAAGUCUCCGGUCAGGUCAGUUCACUUGACGAUUAAUUCGGCAAAUCUCGAAUCUCUUCUCUAUCCCUCUCGUUUUCUCGUGUCUCCUUUCAGUUUAAGUGAUUGAAUCAAUUUUAUCGCAGUCUUAAGAGAAAUUAAGUAAUGCUCUUGGAUUUAAAAUUUUUUUGCUUUCGACUUUAGAUCUCGAAAGUCAAACUCUGCUACGAAUCCAUAGAUUCUCAAUGUUUAUAAUCUUAUUUGUGUUUGACCAGGUAACUGGAUCGUGAAAUUCGUCGUUUUGUAUCAAUUCAAGCUUUCGCGAGCUCAUGGAAUCCCCUGGUGAGUUGUGGUGAAACGUUAUCGUUUCAAUUUUCGCUUAAUUCUUUAUUGCAUAUUUUUUUCUCUCUAAUAUUUCAGUUUAAUUUAGAAAAGAAAGAGGACCCAAAAAGAGAGAGAGAGAGAGAGAGACUCUACCAUACUCAAUUCCUUGCUCAUUCUGAUUUGGCCUGAAUGUUGGCAUUGACUAUUAUUUGUUUUCAUUUCGAUUUAAUUCUCAUUUAGACAGUCUUUUUUAACUAGCAAUAAUCUUUUUAAGGAAAAUGAUAAUAGGGAUUCUGCAAUAAUCUUUUUAAGGAAAAUGAUAAUAGGGAUUCUGCAAUAAUCUUUCUGCAUUGUUCAAGUUAGUAGACAAUGAAUAGGGUGUUUAUGUUUACCUCAUUUUGAACCCUGAGGGCUUCGUUGAGUAGUUGAUCCAACAUAUCCAGCACCGGUUGAUGUGAGAACAGGAUGCCAUUUAGAUAGGCUUAAACUGAUUUUGGAGGUUUGUAUUCAUUCUAUUGUAUGUCUUGCUUACAAAUUUUUUAUUUUUUAUUUUUAAUUUUGUAUAAUAUGCUCUUUGUUGGUAAAUCUCAUUUGACUUAGAAGAGAUAGUUUUAUCCCAACAGUGGGAUAAAUCAUUGAGAUGCAUGGCAGUGUGAAUAUAGUAGACAAAAUCAUUGAGACAGAUGGUGGUGUGAACAUAGUAAACUUUGUCAAACACAGCUAAGAUAAACAAAUUGUUUCAUUAGCCUUUAUCUUAUCUGCUGUGAUGAUUCAAAUUAAUGCUGUUUGGUAGGUUGCAAAAAACGAAAUGAGCUGACUGUUCAUAUUAUUUAGUCAGAUCUAUUGCAAUAAGUUGAAGUUCACUGUCACAUGGGUUGGGAGUAGCGUGGGCUGUGAGUAGUAGAAUGGAUUUAUGGAGUUGAUACAAGUGCCCAUAAUCUAUCAUGUCAUUCUAGGAUUAAAUGGAUUGCACAUUACUGUAAAGAUGGAGGUUAAAUUUAUAUAAUUCGGAUUGAUUGUAAAAUGGGAGGCAGAGAUGAGUUAGAAAAAAAAUGACCUGUGUCCUUUUUGAGCUGUUUCUAAAUCUCCCUGGUGUGCUUCAUGCUUAACACGUGUCUGUCCAAAUAAUUUUGCUUAACCUGUGCUUGUCUACUUCUUGUGCUAUUCUGUGCCUGGUCCUGAGCUGUGUUGGUAGAUUGACAUAAUUUUGCUCUGCUAAAUGUAUAACUUAUUAAUCAGAGUCCUGUUAUUAUGGUUUGACACUACUGACAUGUUGUGUUGGUAUUUAUUUGUACUUCCCUUGGUUGAAUUAUUUGCUGUCUCCAUGCCAUUCGAUAUGGUGCUACUUGGUUUUUGAUCAUCCAUGACGCUAUAUAUAUGUAAAGGAUGAAUUGAUUGUUUUGGCUUGUAUUCUCACAUUUUAUGAUUGAUCGAUGGAAAGGUCUUCAUGUAUUAAAUUCAACCUCACAAGCGUAAGAUUGACAGAUUGUGGGAAAAUUUUCAGGAAAAGAAACUAGACUUCAUGGAAGCAAUGAAGCUUGAAAUUGAACGUCUGCAGCUGCAUCUUUCUGCAGCUGAAAGGGAUAGAGCUUUAUUGUCAAUUGAAACUGAUCCUGCCUCUAUAAAUCCAAAUGUAUUGCUUGAUGAAUCUUACAUGGGAAGACUGUCGAGUAGCAACCACUCUUGCAUUACUUGGCCAAACUUCCCUAGAAGACAAAAUUGUUGGUGCAAUUGGCCUUGAGAAUAGUGAUGAUAGUGUUUUAGACUUCUGGAAUAUUACUAGAAUCGGAGAGAGUUGUUCUGGUGGCGGGUGCAAGGUUUGUGCAGAAACUAAGGUGCCUGCUCUUGCUUCCUCAACUGCAACAUCUGUUGGAGCUUCACAAUCCCCUUUGUUGUGUUCUCAAUGUGAAAGAAAAGUUUGCAAAGUUUGUUGUGCAGGAAGAGGAGCUCUACUGUUUUCAAAUUAUAAAUCAAGGGAUGUGACCAACUACAAUGGCUUCUCAAGUCAGAGUGGAUGAAGCCAUGGAAGCCAAGUUGAUGUAUCUACCAGUCGUUCACUAACACUGGAUGGCGUUAUCUGUAAACACUGCUGCCAUGAGAUUGUGCCUGAUGCAUUGAUGUUGGACCAUGUUAGGGUCUUGAUUAGCUUGCGAAGAAGUUCCUGUGCAGACAACGCAGUCAUACAAUGCUUUGAAUGAGGUUGUUGGAUCCUGCUUAAAGGAUAGUGUUUCUGAAAGGAUUCAGUCUUCCGAUAACGUGCAAGCUGCUGAAGUCCUUCACCAAUUAUGUGGUGGACAGGAAUCACUUGCUGAAUUUCCAUUUGCUAGCUGUUUGCACUAGGUAUGUUCUUGGUUUGUAUUCAGUUCUCAUCAUGUUAUGUUUUCCUUUUAAAUUUCUUUUCUUGAUUAAAAUUUUUAGAAAUAUGUUUUAGUAUUUGUUCUUAUGAUAUAUGCCCAGAACAUUCAUCCCACUUAUCCAUGAGAAUCCUUGUCUGGUUUGAUUUUCAAUUGAGACAUUUUUGGGAACCCUGAGCAGGUUCCAUAUGCUAAUAAUCUUUGAGGUAAGGUGUUGUAGGAUGCCUUGAGAAGCUAAAAACCUAUUACAAGGAAAAGCUCUUGCAUUGUUUUGUGGAAUCUGUGUUGUGAAAAUAGGUAGAGAAAAAGUUUAUGGAAUAAUUCUCUUAUUUCAUAUGUUCAUGAGACUGUACACAGUCUUUAUAUAGGGAUACAAGAGACUAAGAAAGGAAAGAAAAAAUUAAAGCAGAAUAUUACACACUGAUUUCUAGGAAGCAAUAACUCUAUAUUUACACCAAAUAUACACCUAAAUAUAUAAGGAAAACCAAAUCAAUUUGAUUUGGUCAACCUUUCAACACUCCCCCUCAAGCUGGUCUAAAAAUGUCUUUCAUGGCCAGCUUGCAAACCAAUUUCUCAAAAUGUUUCUUAGGUAGUCCCUUGGUGAGUAUAUCAGCAAUCUGCUCAUUUGUAGGAAUGUAGGGCAUGCAGACCAAACCACUGUCCAGUUUUUCUUUUAUGAAAUGUUUGUCCACUUCAACAUGUUUAGUUCGGUUGUGGAGUACUGGAUUAUGUGCUAUUGCAAUGGCAGAUUUGUUGUCACAAUAUACUUUCAUAGGUAGAGAAUUAUUUGCCUUAAGUUCUUCAAGAACUUUUUUGAUCCAAAAAACCUCACAAAUUCCUAGAGCUACUGCUCUAUAUUCUGCCUCUGCACUACUUCUUGCUACCACAGUUUGUUUCUUGCUGCGCUAAGUGACCAAAUUUCCUCCGACAAAGGUGCAGUAACCCGAAGUGGAUCUUCUAUCGGUUACACUACCAGCCCAGUCAGCAUCAGUGUAGACUUCUACUUGUAGGUGCCCGUUUUUUCUAAACAAAAGACCUUUACCCGGAGAUCCUUUUAAGUAUCUAAGGAUUCUAUAUACAGUUUCAAAGUGUUCUGGUCCUGGAGCAUGCAUAAACUGGCUGACUAAGCUCACUGCAAAGGCUAUGUCCGGGCGUGUAUGUGAAAGGUAGAUUAAUCUACCUACAAGGCGUUGGUACCGAUCUAUGUUGGUCACAUCUUCAAUAUUAGCUGGCUGUAAUUUCAUAUUAGGAUCUAUGGGUGUCUCGGCUGCUUUACAUCCGAGUAAACCUGUCUCUUCAAGCAAAUCAAGAACAUACUUGCGUUGAGACACAACAAUCCCAUCUUUUGAUCUAGCAAACUCCAUGCCCAAAAAAUACUUCAGGUUGCCUAAGUCUUUGAUUUCAAAGUCACGUGCAAGCACUUUCUUUAAUCUGCAAAUCUCAACUAAGUCAUCACCAGUCAAAAUUAUAUCAUCUACAUAUACAAUUAACACGACUAAUUUCCCUUCAAUAGAAUGUUUGUAAAACAUUGUAUGAUCUGCCUGACUUUGGGAGUAGCCGUGUCCCUUUAUAACAUUACCAAAGCGUUCAAACCAUGCUCUAGGAGACUGUUUGAGCCCAUACAAAGACUUAUGUAGUUUACACACUUUACUGUUGCCAUGAUUUCCCUCAAAACCUAGUGGUAAAUCCAUAAAGACUUCUUCUUCUAGCUCCCCAUUCAGAAAAGCAUUUUUAACAUCUAACUGGUAUAGAUUCCAAUCAGAAUGUACAGCCAAUGAGAUAAGGACCCGGAUGGAAUUUAUCUUUGCAACGGGGGCAAAAGUUUCUUGAUAAUCAAUUCCGUAGGUUUGAGUGAAUCCUUUUGCUACAAGCCUUGCCUUAUAUCUCUCAACACUCCCAUCAGCAUUACAUUUAAGUGUAAACACCCACUUUCAACCCACAGUUUUCUUUUCUUUUGGUAAAUCCACAAUCUCCCACGUACCAUUCUUCUUUAGAGCAUUCAUUUCCUCUAAAACUGCUAACUUCCAAUCUGGGUGGUCUAGGGCUUCUUUUAUGGUUUUAGGAAUUGGUAUUUGAGAGAUUUUUGUGGUAAAGGCUCUUUGUUUAUUGGACAACUUUUCAUAGGAAACAUAUCUAGCAAUGGGGUGCUUAGUACAGGUUCGGGUUCCUUUCCUAUGUGCUAUGGGUAAGUCAAGAUCAGGAAAAAAAGUGCUGAAAUGUUUAGGAGAAGAAAUGUUACCUGAAUUUUCUGAGGAAUCAGUGCUUGGAGGCAACGAUUGAGGCUGUAUCGAGUUUAUGAGAGGGUCUUUACUGUUGUGAUGAUACUUUCGAGUAUAAACACGCAGCUCUGGUGGUGGAAUUUUAUCUUGUAGUAUUUCUCCCCCUGUCUCUGGUACAUUAACACUUGGUUCCUGUAGUUCAAGGUUUCCUAGGUUUUCAUUAUUAGAAAUAUCAGUUUUUUGAGUUUGAGUUGGAGUGCCCAGAUCAGGUAAAAACUGAUUAGGCAUAGGUGUAGAAGUAUGCCAAAAAUGAUCUUCACUAUUUUCUUUCUCCCCCUGAAGAGAAUUUUGGCCAAAAAAAGGUUGAUUUUCGAGAAAUAUAACAUCCAUACUGACAUGGAAUUUCUUUGUUUGAGGAUUGAAACAUUUGUAACCUUUUUUAUUAGGUGCAUAGCCCAAGAAAACACAUUUUUCAGAUCUAGGAUCCAAUUUAGAUCUAAGAUGGUUAGGAACAUGAACAAAUACAGUGCACCCAAAGACUCUUAACUGAAUAUUGGAGGUAAUCCUACUAGAAGGAUAUAUAAGUGUGAAGUAUUCUAAAGGUGAUUGAUACUUUAAAACACGGGUAGGCAUCCUAUUAAUCAAAUAACAUGCUGUUAAAACAGCAUCACCCCACAAAUAUUUAGGAACAUGCAUAGAGAGCAUGAUAGCCGACUAACUUCAAGUAAAUGGCGGUUUUUUCGUUCCGCAAUUCCAUUUUGUUGUGGAGUAUCACGACAAGUGGAUGUGUGAAUUAUACCCUUUUCCUUACAAAACACCUCUAGAUAAUUAUUAAAAUAUUCAGUACCAUUAUCUGUAUGGAGUAGACUUAUUUUUGUUUGAAAUUGAUUUUCAACCAUGUUAUAAAAAUCUUUGAAUAACCCCUCAACUUCAGAUUUUUCUCUCAUUAAAUAAACCCAACAAAGCCGAGUAUGAUCAUCUAUGAAUGUUACAAACCAUUUUUUUCCAGUUAAAGUGUUGAUUUUUGAGGGUCCCCAAACAUCACUAUGAAUUAAAUAAAAAGGUUUUGAGGCACGAUAAAUAAGUGCUUUAUAUGAAACUCGAUGACUUUUAGAUAAAAAACAACUUUCACACUGAAAAGUAGUACAAUCAACAUUUUUAAAUAAAUUUGGAAACAAAUAUUUCAAAUAAGGAAAGCUAGGGUGUCCUAGUCUAAGGUGCCAAAGCAUUAUUUGAUCCCUAGCAGAGUUUGAACUAAUACUACUGCUCAAACCUUGAGUUUGUUUAUUCCUUGAUAAGUAGUCAUCAAAAUAGUAAAGACCUUCUCGCAAACUAGCACUGCCAAUCAUCGUCCCCAAGUCCCUGUCCUGAAAUUCACAAUGGGAGUCAAAAAAGACAGCACAACAAUUAGAAUCUUUGGUUAAUUUACUGACAGAUAACAGAUUGCAAGAAAGUUUAGGGACAUGUAGCACAUUUUUAAGCUCAAUGGUUCCAGAGAUUUUUAUUGAUCCUUUUCCAGCUAUGGAAGAUAAGCUUCCAUCAGCAACUCUUACCUUUUUGUUACCAGGGCAAGGAUAAUAGGAAUCAAAUAAACUAGAAAUGCUAGUCAUAUGAUCAGAAGCACCCGAAUCAAUAAUCCAUGGUGCAGUAGUUGAGUGGCUAAAUAGAGCAUUAAUAAUACUACCUGUUUGGGCUAGUGAACCACUAGGAGUACUAGGUGGAGGAUUAGAAGUCAGCAGCUUUAUGAGAUGGUCAAUUUGCUCCUUGCUGAGAUUUUUUUCUAGAUUCUCCACUUCAUUGGCAGACGCACGGCUAUGCUUGCUGUUUUUCCAAUCUGCAGGCUUUCCGUGGAGUUUCCAGCAAGCCUCCCGAGUAUGGCGUGGUUUAUUACAGUAAUCACACCAUACUCGAGGUUUUUGUUGCUGUUGAGUGAUGGAGCGGGUAGCAUUAUCUGCUGUAACAAGGGCAGAUUUUUCCACAGAGACAACGGAGUUCUUUUUUCCCAACAUAACACCUCGACGACUUUCUUCUCUCCUUACUUAAGAGAAAACAUCCUCAAGAGUAGGAAGUGGCUUUCUCCCAAUAAUUCUUCCUCUUACCUCAUCAAAUUCAACAUUGAGCCCAGCCAGGAACUUGAAGAUUCGCUCAUUAUUGACAGUUUGUUUGUGGUGUUUAAAAUCUUCCAUGCUCUCCCACUCGUAGUCGUUGAAUAAGUCCAGAUCUUGCCACAAUCUCUUUAGAGUAUUGAAGUAUUUUGUUAUACUAUAAUCUCCUUGACGGAUAUCUCCAAGAGCAAGCUGCAACUCAUAGAUCUGGGACUGAUUUCCAUAGUCAGAGUACAUCUGACUCACAUUAUCCCAGAGUUCUUUUGCAGUAGAGUAGCACAUAUAAUUUGCACCAAUGUCUUCAUCCAUGGAGUUGACUAACCAUGCCAUAAUCAUGGAGUUUUCGGCAUCCCAAACACCAUAAGAGGGAUCAGAUAUUUCAGGAGCCUUAACAUCUCCGGUAAGAUAACCAAUCUUCCCUCUUCCCCUAAUAUACAUUCUAACCGACUGAGACCAUCUUUGAAAAUUUCCUUCAUUCAGCCGGAUAGUUGUAAUCUGGACAGAAUGAGAUUCAGAAUGGGAAAUUUUUGGUUCUAGUCUUUUUGAGGUGACUGUGGUUUCAGAAGAUUGGUCAGACAUGGUAGGGAAGAGAUCAGAAAGAAAGGGAGCCUAGCUCUGAUACCAUGUGAAAAUAGGUAGAGAAAAAGUUUAUGGAAUAAUUCUCUUAUUUCAUAUGUUCAUGAGACUGUACACAGUCUUUAUAUAGGGAUACAAGAGACUAAGAAAGGAAAGAAAAAAUUAAAGCAGAAUAUUACACAUUGAUUUUUAGGAAGCAAUAACUCUAUAUUUACACCAAAUAUACACCUAAAUAUAUAAGGAAAACCAAAUCAAUUUGAUUUGGUCAACCUUUCAACAUGUGUGCUAGCAAGUCAUGUCUCUAAUAAUUUCAUAGUUUGCUUGAUUGGAAUUUUUUAUCUUGAUAUGGAUUGUUUAUUCUAGAUUCCUUGGUGCUGUAGGUUGAAACAGCAAAAGAUUCAGCACCGAUUUUGUCACUGCUUGCUCCAUUAAAUUCUGGAUCAAGGCACUCAUAUUGGAGAGCUCCACCUUGUACUACUUCUGUUGAAUUUGUUAUUGUUCUCUGUUCUGUUUCUGAUGUCAGUGGGGUUAUCUUGCUUGUUAGUCCUUGCGGCUAUUCUGUGGGUGACACUCCGAUGGUAAGUGCCAUAUUUAUUCCCUUAUUUCCUUGUUGUUCAAUAAAUUUGGUGAUAAGCCAAGUGGCCUUAAUAAUGAAGCCCAGUACCAGGGGUGGUGGGUAAUCGAUAUUCAACUUGUGAAUAUUCCUAAGCAAGCACUGAAUCAACAUAGACCUCGGCAAAAGUUCUCCAUGCUAUUAUAACGAAAGUCAUAUUUUGAAAUGAUUAAAAGAGUCCCUGUGUAGUGCUAUUUCCAAAGAAAUUGCAGCUGGAGGUUUAGUUUCAUGUAGGUUAGUUUCCGAUAAUAAACUUUCCAUUUCAUUAAUUGCUGAUGAAAAAACCAAGUAAGAACAGUUUUGUUGCUCGUCAUUUAUGUAUAUUUUGGUAAACUGUAAUUUUAAAUUCUCAACGAUCUUCCCUUUGUAGGUAAGAAGAUGGUCCACUCACUUGAUAUUUAUGAUUGUAGAUCAGGUUUCUAUUGGUUUGCCUUUAUCAUUCGGAACCCAAGUUUGAUAUUAACAGAGAUCACGUCAAUAAUAUCCUAUUUGGGUAGAUGUGGGUGAGGAUUUAAAAUCAAAUUUGAAAUUGAGGGCAAAGAAGAGAAAAGAAACCGCAAUAAUUAAACAAAAUAUUAGGAACUAUUCUGAUGAGUUUUAAUCUCGAGAGGAACAAUUUUCAAAUGCAAAAUUUAACUGCUAGAGAAAUUGUAGCUUUUUGUCAUUAGUUAAGAGGAAAGAGAAUAAGAACUAUCUGGCCCUUUCCUUCAUGAAUGUGUGUUGAGGUUGCUGUAUUAUUUAGUCAGUAUUUGUAAUUUUCUUCCCUGCAGUGCUCUCUGCCUCCUGAAUUUGCUACUGAGUCCAUAUUUUUCUUUGAGCUGUUGCUUCCUAUUGCUGUUACAGGUACAAAUCUGGGCAAGCAAUAAGAUACACCGGGAGGACAGGUCAUCAAUGGGAAAAUGGGAUGUCCAAUCCCUCAUCACAUCUUCUUCAGAUUUGUAUGGUCCAGAAAAGUCUGCUAGUGUUGAAAAAUUACCUAGGCAUGUAAAAUUUACUUUUAAGAAUCCUGUUAGGUGCCGCAUUGUUUGGAUCACAUUACGUCUUCAGAGACCUGGUUCGGCUUCAGUUAAUUUCGGGAAUGACUUCAGUCUUUUGUCUCUUGAUGAAGAUGAAAACCCCUUUGCACAAGUAGACAGACGUGCUUCAUUUGGAGGAGCAGUUGAAAAUGAACCAUGUAUUCAUGCCAAAAGAAUUCUUGUAGUCGGAAGCCCAGUAAAAAGGGAGGGGCUUACCACAUCACAGAGCUCUGAGCAGCUAAGUAUUAGAAACUGGUUGGAUAGAGCUCCACAAAUGAGUAGAUUCAAGGUAUUAGUUGCUUUCACUCUUUGUUCAUUCAUAAUUCCAGCUUUCUGCUUGAUGCCUUGCCUCUGAUAAACCUCUUUUUUCUCUUCAGGUCCCAAUUGAGGCCGAGAGAUUGAUGGACUACGAUCUCGUCUUGGAACAGUAUCUACCUCCAGCGUCACCUUCGCUUGCCGGAUUCCGUCUAGAUGCUUUCAGUGCAAUAAAACCUAGGGUUACCCAUUCACCUUCCUCAGAUUCAGAUAUCUGGGACAAAUCAGUAACAUUUUUAGAAGACAGGUACAUCUCUCAAGCUGUGUUGUAUUUACAAGUAUCCGCACUCCAGGAACCACAUAACAUGGUAACUAUUGCGGAAUAUCGACUGCCGGAGGCUAGAGCCGGAACGCCAAUGUACUUUGAUUUCCCACGACCGAUACAGUCCCGACGAGUUUCAUUCAAGCUUCUUGGAGAUGUUACAGCAUUUGCAGAUGAACCUUCAGAACAAGAUGAUUCAGGAUUGAGAGCUCCACUUGUGGCCACAGGUUUGUCUUUGUCAAACAGAAUCAAGUUAUAUUAUUAUUGUGAUCCUUAUGAGCUCGGAAAAUGGGCAAGCCUUUCUGGAGUUUGAUCGUUAUUUAUAUGUCAGAGAAAGGGUUUUGGGUUUGAUUUUGAUUUUGAUUUGUAAUUUUUGUCAGUUUAUUGAAAUUUUUUGUUGUAUAAAAGCAGAAUGUAAAGGUAUAAAAAUUCAUUGAUGCUGCAAUGUCUGUGCUUUUGAGAAAGAAAGAAUUCUAUGGCUUUUCUAUGCCAUUGGAUUUUCCACUGCCUGUAAACUUGGGCUGUCGAAUGCUCUGUGAACCUUAAGGGCUAUAAAGUAAUUUUCAAGACUGAAGGAUUUAUUAAUCGAGUUCAAAAGAUUGCAAGUUGGUGAGCGUUGGCAUUUAAAAAAUCAAUUGUUAUUCUCUCAAUAAUCUCUGUCUUCUGCCGACACCCCAUGCUCAGAAACCCAUUGUUCCGACGGACGUGUAACACUUCUAGAAAUUGUUUUGAUCUCUCCUCGUGAAGUGUUUUCUUUUUCGAGUGAAGGUGGUUUUCUACUUGCAUACGUCGGGGGUCUUAUGAUAUGUAAUGUGUGAAAUUUCUUUCUCAUUUUACCAUAAAGAAAAAUGUUGUAAUAAUCUAAAGCUCGAGUCUUAAAUUAUCUUAAAUUUAUAUUUAGAGUGGAGCUAUUCGCAAUCCUACAUUAAAAUUACAAAUAAAAAUAAUUGAAAAUUAAACACUUAUAGAUUUUUUUUACAACAAAUUAUUUAAUUCAUAAUCAAUCCUUUAAAAAAAAAAAUCCAUAUGUUACUUGCUAUCUAACUAAAAUAAAUUUUACAAAUUUAGAAUAAUCUAUUGAUUUCUUUUGAUUUCUUAUUAAUUAAAUAUUUUUAUACAUAAAAUUGCUUUGAAAUUAUAAUUUGAAAUAUGUGUUAUUUCAGCCAAUGAUUAACACUAAAAAACUUAUCACCCAUAUAACUUUUUAAUUUGUGUGUAGGGUAAUAAUAAAAUCAAAAAUAAUUAAAAAAAUAGUACAAUAAUGAGUUUUAACAAUAAAACAAAUCAAAUGAAAAUUGAAAAUUUAGAAAAAAUGUAUCUAAAAAAGGGAACGUUUUUUAAAAUAAAAUGAAUAUAACUAAAAAGGGGUUUUAUGAGAAGAGCAGAGGGGUGCCAAUAGUCCAACUUGUAAUUAAGAAUCUCCCAUUAUAUUGUCAACCAAAAAGACACUUGAAUAAGAAGAAGAAUUUAUCAGUUUGAUUUUAUUUAUAGAUCCAACAUUUCUCAUAUCCUAAACGCCUUUCCGUAUCAAAUUAAAACAGUAGUCGCAAAAUCGUAGUAUUAAAAUCGUAGUGCACAUUCAAUUAACCAACUAAUAGUCUUUGGUAUAAGAUUUUAUAUUAGCUAGCCAAGUAGGUUGUCCAUCCCACUCAGACAUGAACGAAAGCUAAAUUCAUCAAAUGGUGUUAUACUAUUAAAUAUUUUUAUAUUUAAAAUUACUUUGAAAUUAUAAUUUCAAAUUAAAAUAGUAGUAGCAAAAUCGUAGUGCACAUUCAAUUAACCAACUAAUAGUCUAAGAAGCAAAGAGAGGAUUACAAGUUCACAACACCAUUACAAAGGAUUCAAAAUUCCCACACGAAAACAUCAAUGUACAGAUUAUAAACAAUCCGAAUUGGACACAAGAAAAAGCCCUUCAAUGGAUUGCUUUCCUUCCCAAUGCUAUAUACUGUGCAAACUCCGCACUGGCCAAGAAAAUGUUUUCAAUUUAGUGUAUUUUCAAAUUGCUUAUUUUCUCAUAAUAUAAAAAAUAAAAAAGAAUCCUUACAUGUUUCAUCAGCAUGAUUAAAAUCAAAGAAGAAAGCGAAGACGUAAUGUCUCUGACAUAAUAAAAUUACAAAAAUUUCAAGGAAAAAAAAAAGGUUAAAACAUGUAAUCUUCAGAAGCAUAUAAUAAAAGAACACUUCCACAAAUUACUACAAUUUCAUGCAGUAGAGAUUGAAGAGUUGAAUUCCACUAAUUUUAAUAAUGAAAACAACAACAGAGGAUUAACUGAUGCUUUGACUUAUUAGCAGGUUGCUUUGACUUAUUAGUUCUGCAGCUAAGUUAAAUAAAAUAAGCUAUUUUCAAAAGCAAAAUGGAAUACAUAGAUAAAAACAUCAUCUUAAACAAAUCACAAUCUAGAAUUAGAGCAUUUUCGACAUACCUAAGGAACACGAAUACGUGAAAACGGGUGAUUUAUUUGUUAAGGAGUGUUGAUUUGGUCGUCUCUGCAAAUUCUUUAGGGACUCGGUUCCAAUUCCUCUUCAUCAAAACUGUAAUAUAAUUCCCCUUCAUCAGAACUCGAAUCGAUGCAAUAUAAUUCCCCUUCAUCAGAACUCGAAUCAAAUUCACUUGCAGCAGUUCCACUCGCGCUUGGCAAAUCAUCCAAUUUCCAAACUUCGGUAACAAAAUUGAGAGUAAAAGUGUUGGCUUUGAUCUCGCUGGGAUUUGCAUAUACUGGACAUACUCCGCAACGUUUUAUCUUCUGACCCUUUUGGACCUUUAUUAUGUUUCGGUGACACUCAUUGAAGAACUUAAAUGUGGCAGUUGAAUGAUGGUCACCAUCAGGAAAGCCAACAUUCAAGCAAGGUUUAAAACCAAGUAUGACAUGAUCUGAAUCAUGGGGGUCUUGAAUUGAGUGCAAAUUGUAACCCAGAUGAACAUGUUUGGUUUCAGAGAGAGUCUUUAUUUCUAAGUCGGAUCGACAGUAAACGUAAAAAUAACGAAAACGAUCAGAAUAAAGUUGCUUAAAAUCAAGAACAGCACAAAAAGCAAACCCGAUUAAGUUUCUGCAAAAAGAGUGCGGUGGCAGUUGAAUACGUAUCGAAGAUCCUGAACUUUGAUUGCUGAACCAGUCAGGAAUUUCGCUCCCAGGUAAAACAAUUUGGGAUCCCCUGAGUUCAGAAAGUUUCUGCGAAACGACAUUUAAAAAAAGAAAAUUGUAAAAUGAAAACCAUGAUUUCAGAUAUAACAAAGAGGGACAGAGUAAACAAGAGAGGGAAUUUGAUACCUCGUUGUAUGCAUUUUCAUAGCCCAGUCUCAGUGAUGCUGCAAUUGCCAUACGUAGUGAAUCUGCCAAAAUCUUGUUGUUUGCUUUUCCAUCAAGUUUCAAGCAGUUAGUAAACUCAAAACAAAUUGGUUGUGGCGUCACAUAUUCCGGAUGCCAUUCACGAAGGUCAGGAGAGGGUUUGGAUAGCUUUUCGAGUACGGAUGCAUCUAGUUCUUGUACACAUGACGGAAUCUCUGGCAAAGAUUGAAGCCGGUUGCAGUUCAUUGCUUUUAGUGACUGUAGACACAAUGGAAGUUCUGGUAAUGACCGAAGC